rnacentral:lncRNA from 1 species
GUACUUAAUGGAUUUGAACACACAUCUUACCUUGCAUUCAUGUGGUUAACGAUGAAAUUAUUACUCUCAUUACAGUGGUUUGCUAUAUGGCGAUAUAUGAGAUUCCAUCAGCAAAGGGGAAACCCAGAGUUGUGGAUACCAGUGAAGCUCUUUCAUAUGAGGCUAUGUCAAGUCUUCACUGGAUUUUUCAAGGCACAGCUAUUCAUUCCAUGAUUUAAUUAGUCACUGGUUCUAAGGAAAAUCUGUUGGUAUGUAGUUCGGUUACCACAUGAUCGGUUACAGUCAAGCUUUUGCAAUACUUUAGAAGAUACAAAUAUCUCAGAAAUUCCCCAAAUCAGGUACAUCUUUGAAUUGCUCCUAGUAUUUGAUUGUACAUUUUCUUGCAAUAGAUCGAUAAUCUGCCAUGGAAUUUGGUUGGCCGUACCUUUAUUAUUUUAAUGCAGGUUGCAGCUGAAACAAUUGGUCACAAUGGAGGUUAUCCAAUUAACUGCUCUUUGAAGUAAUUUCAGAGAUAAAUUUGAGAAUGAGAAAACCAUGCUCGAAGGUNNNNNNNNNNNNNNNNNNNNNNNNNNNNNNNNNNNNNNNNNNNNNNNNNNNNNNNNNNNNNNNNNNNNNNNNNNNNNNNNNNNNNNNNNNNNNNNNNNNNGUAAGUACACAGGCUCUGAUACCAAUUGAUAUUGCUAAUAUGAGUACCUAGAGAGGGGUGAAUAGGUGCACAAACAAUUUAUCGAAAUACGGAAGCGAUUCUUAGCAUAUGAUAGAAAGGAAAUUCUCUCUUAAUUAACAAAAUGAAAUACGAUCGAGGUAGAGAGAGUGAGGAAGAGAAAAUUGAACACAGGAUUUAUAGUGGUUCGGCUUAUUCCAAGCCUACGUCCACUCUUCCGCACUGACAGCCCACCGGCUGGAUUUCACUAUGAUCAAAAGAGAAGUUACAGCACAGCUUUGCCUUGAUUCCACAGUGUAGAUGUUCUACCACACCUCCUCAAGGUUUCUCACAAAUAUAGACUCUCUUUUGUAUACAAGUAUUCGCUCAAAGGAUUUGUCUAAACAGAAAGGAGCUUCAGACUUUGGAAUUCUUCUAUCGCGCACACCUUGAACAACUAAGACAGUCUUCCUUAUAUACUCCUUUAUGCCAUCAUACCCGUUGGCACUUACCAAAGGAAUUCCUCCAAUCUACCCGUUGGACGGAAUCAAUUAGGAAGAUUGUUCAAGCUAUUAAAGGAACGUGUUGAUAGCCCAUCAAUCCUGUUCGCCCAUACAAUCAGGAUCUCGGUUUCCAUAAGCAGAACCUUCCAAUAAUAAUUAGGCAAUCACCGGAUCUUCAAUUAUCGAGUCAAUCUUCGAUCAAUCAAAGGACUCCGUUAUGUCUUCUCCAGCCACGAGAUCUUCUCCAGUUGAUAAGGUUAAAUCCUUAACGAAACAUCCAGUUCUGGAUAACCUUUCUUCAACGGAUUAGAGACUGUCAAUGAGGAUAGAGUUUGAGUCUUGAGUCUGGCUGUCCGGAGGUCUUCAGACUUUAAAUAGCAGAGUCUGCAAGCCUUCAGACUAGACUGAUAAAAACGUUUUGUCAACUUCAAAACACUUCAAGAAGAUUUCUCCAACAGAUGUUACAUUCCGAACCACCACGUGAACAUCACCGUCAACCUCCCAUCGAGCUAAGAAGCCCCCUGAGCACCACCCCACAGUUGUUACACCACGUCCGGGUCACCAUCAUUGAGCCAAAGCACCAUGAUCGAUCCACUGUGAUCCACAACCGCGAUUCCCGUAUCUAUUCAUCUGAAUUCAAAUUUGGAACGUUGAUAUUUGAAAUAGGUAACGAUCUUGAUGGUUUUAUUAGUGAUGGGCUUAAGGCCCGUCCGCCCAUGUUAGGCCUAAAAACCCAGCCCACAGAAUUAGGGCCCGUGGAUGGAGGGAUGUAUAAAAGGGAGGAGAGAGAGGGAGAACGCACCUUUUGGAAAUCAGAACGUACGUACGUCUCCCUCUCCCUCUCUCUCUCUCCCAAAAGGAAAACAGUAAGGCUCCGGCAACGUUUUUUCUUCCCUUCAACCACGAUUUGGCGUCAUCGGAUCGAACAAGGGCCAAAUUAUCUUCAUCUUAUCGGCGUCGGUGUUUAAUCUGUGGCUAACAAGGUACGCUCGAAUCCGUGGUGUGCUUUAGGAUCGGUGAUACGUGAUUUUCCCGGACUUGUCUUCCGCAUUCGUUUUAGGAGUUCGAUUUAGUGUCGAAUCCGGUUUUCGGGGAUCCGUUAAUUCCCAACAUUGGUAUCAGAGCCCUAGUUCAUGUUUUCCCGACCCUUUUCAUGUUUUUUUGAUUGAUUUUUCGCAAAGAAAUUCGGCCGACACGGAUCGGGGCGAGAAAUCCCGACACCUGAGCACUGUUUGUCCGUUUUUUCGAGUUUCUGUAAGUUGAAAUCGAAUUUUGAUGCCAUGGGGUGAAAGGGCUCGUCGAGACGAGUCCGUCGAUAGGUCGUGCGCCGCCGGGCGACGCCAGACGCGCCCACACGCGUGGCCAGAAGCCACUGCGCGUGGGCGCGACGCGCCCGAAGCACUGGCUCGGUCAACACGUGCGGCACACGCGCCGGUCGGCGAACCGGCACGUGCGCGCCGCCGGCCGGUGAACCGGCACGCGCCAGUCGGUGAACCGACGCGUGCUGACGUCACCGUGACGUCACGGUAACCGCCGGGAUGAUGACGUCAUCGCCGACGACUGUUGGCCAGCCGGUGACCGGCCGGCGACCCGACCCGACCCGCAUGGAAGCUGGCGCAUGCCGCGCACGUGCCGGCUGACGUCUGCGUGAUGUUAGCCCGCGCACGCGUGCGGCACGUGCCAGUCGGUUCGUCCGACCCGGCUCGACCGGUCCGACCGGUCCGUCCGGUCCGACCGGUCCGAUGACCCGGCGACCUGACCGUUGACCCAUUGACCGACGACCAUUGACCAACGACCGUUGACAAAAAAAAAGAAGAAGGGAAAAGAAUGUGUUUCUUUUUCAAUUAAGUCUAUGUGGAUUAUAUGUGAUCCCUUAUUUGUUUUGCAUUUGUUGCAGGAACAGUUCUGCAUUUGUUGCAGGAACUAUGCCUCCCCUCAGAUUGCGCACACCUAUUCGCGCAGUUACCGAUGAACAAAAGGAAAUGCUUUCUAAGUUGAUAGCUGAGCUGACUGAUUAUCGAUGGGAGAGUGGUGACUUAAUUGAUCAUAUCCUUGAAGUCAACGGGAAAAUUCAAAAGGUCAUAUGGAAUGGUCGUCCUAUGUCACAGUUAGAGAUGGUGCGAUUUUUCAUGAACACUCUUCCACCUAAAUGGCAAGAAGUGUUGAAUCGCAUAUGGGAUGUCAACGGAGCUGCUUCAUGUAAGAAAAUUGUGAUGGAUUUUGUAUAUGAAUAUUACUGGAUUAUUACAAGGGAAAAGAUCAAGAAAUUGAACAAAAAAGGAUCUUUCCUAGUUCGUGUGCUGACUUGGUGUUAGUUGUAUUGGCUAAUCUUUGUUAAGUGUGCUUUGUGGACACAUAAUGUAAUGUUUACUACCUUAUUGUUGUUGAUGUAGCAACCGCUAUCUUGGUUGUAUUAGUUGAAAGCAUUAUUGUUUUAUUGGAUGUCAAUUAUCUGUUGCUUUCUGUUAUUGCUGGUUGCUGUGGGUAGUUAGCUAUGGGUAGUUAUAGAAGUUUUUGUAAAUUCAUAGAAUUUAUUUUGCAUAAGACAAUUAUAUUAAUGAUAGUUUUAAGUUAGGAUUUUGGAGGAUGAUUGGAAACAUAGUGACAUUUUGAUUCUGAAGUCUUACUUGAAAUUAUUCAUUAAUAUGAUAGGUCUAUGCAAAUAGGGAUGCAUAAAUGAUAGGCAUUAAUAAUUUGUGCAUAUAUGUCUGAUGUGUUCAGAUCAAUGGCUUCAGCCACAAAGAGCAUAGUUGCCGAGCUGAACAAAGGUAAAAAGCUCAAUGGUGACAACUAUGAAAUUUGGCACAUGAAAAUCCAGUAUGUGCUGGAAGAGCAAGAAGCACUGGAAGCUCUUAACCUGACCAUGGUUAAACCUGAAGAAGGAAACAUUGCACAGCACAAGAGAGAUAAGGAAGCUUUUGCUGCAUGGAAAAGAAAGAACUCUCUUGCUCGCAUCACGUUGCUGAGCAGCAUGGAAAAUGAUGUCAUGCGAGAGUUUAGGCGUUUUGACAAUGCCAAGGAAAUGUGGGAAGCAUUGGCAGCUAGAUUUGGUCAUACUUCGGUGACCAGACUGAGACGGCUCACUAUUAGGUUUGACUCUUAUAAGAAGCCUCAUGGUCAGACCAUGAAGCAAAAUCUUAGAAAGAUGUCAAACAUGAUAAAUGAGCUGAAAGAUGCUGGCCAUGUCCUGACAGAUGAGCAGCAAGUGCAAGCAGUGAUUCGUUCCUUGCCUUAGAGUUGGGAGCAUAUGAAGGUGCACCUGACCCAUAAUGAAAAUAUCAAAACCUUUUAGGAUGCAGUGCGCCAUCUUGAGCUGGAAGAGGACCGCCUUUUGGUGGCUAAGCCGGAUGCUGAACUCUAUCAUGCUAGUUCUAGCUCACAUGGAGCUUCGAGCUCCAAGCGCAAACGCCCUAACUGGUUUGAUAAAGGGAAAGGCAAGGAAGCAGGUCAUUCAGGGAAGAAACCCAAGUUUAACCAACAUGAAAGAGGAAAGCAUCCUCGCAUGAAAAAGCUUGCAAGGGUGAAAUGCUACAACUGUGACAAGAAGGGUCACUAUGCUCGCGACUGUCGUGAGCCAAAGAAGGUAUGCACCCCUUGUACUUUUUAGAACUUUGCUUUUGUGUCGAGUUCAGUAUUCUUCACUGACCCUUCUCCUUUGUUUUGUACAGUUUCCGGAGCGACUUACCAAGUAGCGCAUGAUCGAGGAACCUUCGGGCAAUUCACUUGAGUGAGCUCCUGAUAUGACUGGAUCUAGGUGGGAAACAGCUAUGGACCAGAAAUGAAAGGAAGUCGCACAAGCCAGGGAGCUGUUUCAUCAGUAACCAGCCGAUACAUCAUUCAAUCUUCCCCCCUCAAAAAAUUCGUUAGGAGCUGAUAGGUUCUCUACACUAUGUUUUUUUGAGACUUCCGAUGGAACAACGGCCAGACUUUCCCGCGCUAAGUCAAAACGAAUNNNNNNNNNNNNNNNNNNNNNNNNNNNNNNNNNNNNNNNNNNNNNNNNNNNNNNNNNNNNNNNNNNNNNNNNNNNNNNNNNNNNNNNNNNNNNNNNNNNNGGUUGAUUAUGUCGACAUUUAUUUAUUUCUCUUAUCAAUGUCAAUCUUUAUGACUGAUUCCCUAGACCCCUCAUUUAACCCUGGGCAGCCUCUCUGCCCCUGAUACCUGCAGGUUAUGGUUGCUGGAUUUGGAUGCAAGUUCCAAAAAAUUGGUUGCUACCAAUGUCAAUGUUUGGCGUUGUGAAACCACUUCUUGUCCCAUGGAGCCUGCGAUUCUGAUGCGCUUUAGAAGUGUGGGAGGAACUCUGCUAUGAUUCACCAUUUCUAGUGUUACAAAAGUAUAUCUCGUGAUUAGAGCUUUCUUAAUUUGCUCCGAAAUCUAUGUAGCUGAAUCACUCAACAAAAGGAACUCUGUUUUUGGGGUUCUGUUACCACUGUUGUAGAGAGCUUUAAUCAUUCAUAUGCCUCAAUCUAUUAAAUUCAUCACAAUUAUCUGCUAGAGAGACAGCAUAGUAGUAAUUAUACAAGCCUGUAUGAUAUUCUAUUAGCAUGACCUGUUAGUUCUACGACCAUUCUAGGAAGUUGAAAAGCAUCUCUCCAAAAUGGUUGUUUCCAAGUCUCUACUGGGAAAGAUAGACCUGCCGAUGGGAGUUGUAUGCUUCCAGACAACAAAGGAGAGCAAUGACAUCUUGAACUUGUGGGCUACAAAUUUGGAAAAGCUCCUUGAUCUUGUUGAGGAAAGCUGCCACCAAAUCCACAAGCAAACUAUGGUUCAUAUGGCUGCUUUGCGAGAUAUUCUUAGUUGAAUGAAUGACCUCUCUUCCCUUGAGCCUCCCCCUCUCUUACCAAAAGAGAGAAGCUGAAGAGUGCGGUUUCACAUUGUCCUCUGAAGUGGGGAGUAAAGAUAUCAUAGAACUCUCGUGUAGCUGUCUUAAAUUUGAUAGCAUAUCUUGCAGGUGGACCAGAUCAGGAUUGAAAUGACACAGAAUACACUUUUUGCUUAGGAAUCUAUUUUGGUCUUUUCAUCUUUCCUCUUCCCCCCUCCUUGUAAUUGAAGAUUUUUGGACUAUCAGGGUCCAGAACUUGUACCAAUAGAAUUAGUAACAGAACAAGAUGUGCACUCAUUACAACAAAAGUAAGCGCCUUGUUACCAAAUUCUGUUUCUCUGUACAAAUUCUGCUGGUGUUAAGUGUUUUUCUAACAUCAGGGAUAACAUUAGCUCUCAAAAGUAAAGGCGAGUGAAUGUUAUUUUGUAUUUCAUUUCACAUUUGAAUUUUGUUCAGUAGAGAGCCUGCUUCCUUUGGACUUAAUCUUGACCGUUGGCAGUUCUGAAAGCCUCUUUUUAGGGAGCUUAUAUAUUGUCGAUGGACUUAGCUUUUCUCUAGGAUGAUGUGAUGUCAUUUCAAAAAGACACUAUUGUGAUAUAAUUUCUUUCUAAACUUUUAGUACCGGAAUGUGUUUCAAUGUCAACAAGUUGACAUUUCUCUCUACUCUUGGCAUGUAUGUGGGUAAUAAUACAGUAAUAAGAAGCUAUAUUGAGGAUAAUGUGUUUGUUUUACAACUCUGUUAAGAUUUGGACUUCUGGCUGAGGAAUAGAAACCAUCACAUUUUGCCUAUAAAUCUCGGCAUUUGAUUAAAUUGAUCAAUCAUUUGUUGUCUCAAAUCCCCUUUCUUUACAAGAAGAUGUUAAGGUUUUAAACAUUGGGUCUCAGAGCAAAGUGGGGCAAAAAUGAGUCCUAUAGAAAGCAUCAUAUAGUACUCGAACUUUUAUUUGAUUCAUGGGACAAAUUUAACUGAUGAAUGAAAAAUUGUUUUUGUGCGCGCCUGCGGGGAAGGGGGGGGGGAGUUUGAAUGAAUUAGGAAUUUAAAAUGUUUGUACUGAUGAUAGGUGUCAAAUAUUUAUUUGAUAGCACAUUGAUAGAUAAGCAUCGCUAUUAAUACCUAAUUUUUGGCGGCCCAAUUAGUUGUUUAUUGCAUAAAAAAAAUUUGGGAUUAAUUUUUAACAUCUAAAUAAAAAUAUUAAAAGUAGAUUGCAUAGCAUAUGGUUUUAGGAGCAUUUAUUAUUUAGUUGUUUUUUUUAUUGCAUUUGCAUCGGAUCGGUGAUAGAUGAAUCUGAACUUUAAUUUAGCGAGUCCAGUCCCAUGUUAGUAAUUUUAUGUUAUUGCCAAGAUUUGAUAGUAAAUAGUCGGUCAAGAUUAUGGAAUAUGAGAAGUUGUAGGAGAUGUGGAGCCCAAUAGAGAGGGAGGCGAUUUCUCUGGAGGUCAGCACUGGAACAAGCUCCGGCACUCCUCCAAGGCACGCCUCGUGCCCGACGCAGCACUGCCUGUCUCCUUGCCGCCGCAGUUCAUCAUCCAGUUUUGAUCCAGUCUGAUCUGGUGAAUUUCCGGCAACAAUGAAGCACCACUCGGCGAGUCCUUUGCACGCCACGGCAACCUCCCCGUGGUCUCUUGAUUAAUUCUUUGCAGGUUUCCGGCAAAAUUACAAGCACUUGGCGAGCCCAUCGAGCGAACUACCCGCCAGGCCACUACGCUUCACGCUGUUGUCCCGUUUCUUUAAACCCGACACCACCGCCUGCUGUUUUGUCUGUCAUGCUCGAUUGUUCUUUCACAGGCUGUCCAGAACAAAUCAAGGCCCCUGCAUCAAUCCAGGCGAGUGCAAGACAGCUCCUGUAACGAUGAAUCUUCAUCAUCAUUAGCGGAUUUAAUGAUGCUUUAUGAAUAACGCUUUUUAUAGGUUCCAACGUUAUGGUUGGCGUUGGUGACUUAUCAGCCCAGCAAAUCUCUGAGAAGCUUUGCAGCCCUUUAGCCGUGUUCACUCAAGUUCAUCCGCGACGACUCCCUGCCAUUUGUUGUCCCUUUGCUGCCUGCUUGUUAUAUUUUCGUCCAUAGUCGGCGAACCACUCCCGUUGCAAAUGUGAAGUCCGGUAAAGCCCCAACACCCGCUAGCAAUGACAUUGCUGCUGCUGCUGGUGGUUUUCCGUGUCACGCCCCGAUCCUCCGGGAUGCGCCCAUCCUUCUAUUUGGUUGAUUUUAAAGUGCGAUAUACCAGGACUAAGUAUCGCCGACCCUUUCAUUUUAUUACGCAGGCGGAAGCAAUUAUAAAUCCCCAGACAAUAAAAUAAUGGGAUAGAAAAGCAGGCCAUAUAUUUCAUAUUGAAAUUCACAACCACACUUUCAGUAACAGCACAACUCAUAGUAUAUUUACAAUACCAUUCACAACAUACUUGUCUCACACCUAUCUACACUAAGACAGGGUUUACAAAAAGGAUGGGAUCUCAGUCCACAUCCGGGUUAUACUCAAAAUCCCUCUUUGGAUCAUCUUCUUCUUCAAAAGUCUUUCUUCCCUUCAGGUUCCUCCUCCUCAGCUUCUCCUCAGGGUCCUGAAAUGGUUAUUCAAUAACCAAUGAGACCACGUCUCAGCGAAUUCUACCCCCUAAUACCCAAUUAGUAAGCCAAUACACCUUAGGCUGCCUAAGCACAUCACGAGUCAAAGGACUUACCUUGGCCUCAGCUCCUUUCUGCAAGUUAGUAUAUAUAUCAAAUAUACAUCAUCACAUCACAUCACCCAAUCAGAUCGAAUCAUCGAUCAAUCGACCUAGUCGAUUACAUGUCAUCCAAAUUAUCUCUUGAUCAACCCCUUUCAUACCUUCUAUAAGUCUGAUUAACAUCCAAGACUACUCACCCUUGGUGAUAUAUAGAUAGUAUGUUAUCUUAUCUCCAGACAACAUAUAGAGUCAUCGAGCUAUCAAAUCAUACCGUACUGUCUCAAGAUGAUCUGUAGAAUUAUCGAGUCGGUAUAUCAUACUGUACUGUCUCAAGAUAAUCUGUAGAGUCACCGAGCCGGUAGAUCAUACUGUCCUGUCUCAAGAUGACAUAUUAAGUCACCCAGCCGGUAUACACGCAAUUUAUCAUACCGUACUAUCUCAAGAUGCUCCGUAGAGUCAUCGAGAUCAUACCGUCCUGUCUCAAGAUGCUCCGUGGAGUCAUCGAGCCGGUAUACCGUACUGUCUCAAGAUGCUCCGUAGAGUCAUCGAGCCGGUAGAUUAUACCGUCCUGUCUCAAGAUGCUCCGUGGAGUCAUCGAGCCGGUAUACACACAAUUUAUCAUACCGUACUGUCUCCAGAUGCUCCGUAGAGUCAUCGAGUCGGUAUACAUGUCAUUCCAAGCAAACAAUCAAAUAACUAGUUUUAUCAUUCUCGAUAAAAUGCCAUGAGUGGGUACUCAAUCGGCCCUAGCCAAAAUAUAAUAGUUUCUUUUUUAUAAAUCUCAACAUUUUCUGUAGUCCACUAAAACAGUUUUGGUAUCAUUAACUGAUGCCCGGUUAAUUUCUAAUUAAUUUUCCAAGAUUAUUUAAAUUAGGGAAUAAAUCCUAAAUUCACAAAUAAAUCAUUUCCGCACAAAAUAAAGCUUAAUUAAAUAAACGAACUGCACCAUGACAAUCAGCAUAAAAUUCCGGUCACCGGCCAUCCCGGUUGAAUUUCCGGAAAAAUAAAUAAAUAAUUAAUUAAUUUCGAAAAAUAAAUAAAUAAAUACUAAAAAUCCAAUUUAUGCCCAUAAUGCCUGAUUGGACGCCAGAACGGAUCGGGAAAAAUCCCGAGAUACGUUCAAUAAAUAAUAGAAGCUCUCUACUUGCUAAUGACUAAGUCUAACCACCUAACAUGCAUAAUUAAGUCACUAAUUUAAUUGUUCUAAACUAAUCUAACCACAUAAUUGCACUUAAUUAAAUCUAAUCAACCCUUAGGCAUAAUUAGCAAACUAAGAAAGCAUUAGUGAGUAAAACUCACUUGACAAAAGCGGAGACCGAAUCACCGCGAUGGCGACGCGAUGGCAGCCGAAAUUGGGCUUUCGACAACACCGGCGGGCUUGGACCGGGCCUUGGACUGAACUUGGGCCUGAGCUUGGGCUGACUUGCUUCGCGGGCUUGGGCUUCAAGAUUGGGCUGCUGAAUUGGGCCUCAAAUUACUGGGCUGAUCUUGCUUUAAAGAAACUGUUGGGCUGAUUUCUUGUGGGCCUGACUUUGUUUGGGCUUCAAAUGGCGUGGGCUCAAUGAAGCUGCUGUUCACUUGGGCUACGAUGUGGACUACAAUUAGGCUGAAGACACGGGCUUGAAUCAAGCUGGGCCACGACAAUUUCGUGUGGGCUGCUGUACGCUUGUCUUCGGAUGAGAUGGACUCGGACGAGAUGACCGAUCGAAGAAGCAGCAAAGGCUGCUGUUGGGCCACGAAAAUUGAAGACCAACGUUGCUGGAGAAGGCGGUUUCGCUGGCAGCUUACUUCGGCAAGGAAAUCCACGGAUACGGGGUCAACGACGAGGAAAGCAGCUGGAUUCUUGGCCGCGUGGAGUGAAGAUCGGUGGGGGAGUGAGAGACGUGCGCAGAGACGAGCAGAGGUGGGAGCUUCGAGCGGUUUGCUGGUCAACAACCGACAGAAGGGGCAGCUUCGGUUGACUUGCUUCGAUGAAGCUAGAUACGGAGGAGUCAACGUGGCUGAGGGAGCUCACUUGCUGGUUGACUCGGCAGGAAACAAAGCUUAGUGGAGGAUGGGCGUGGGCUGCAGAGCAGCGAAGCGGUGGAGCUGCAGGUGAUGGCUUCGGUCAACAGAACAUGGAGUCAGUCUCGAUGGAAGACUUCGCGCGGAUGGAGGAACACGCGGACGCUGUUGUUGCUGGGGAAACUUCGAUCGUUGCUGGACACGCACAACCCCGAAAGAAAAAGAAGGGCAGCUGGCGUUGGGCUUCGUGGGCGUGGAGAUGCAGAGGAGUCAACUUUACUGGGGUUUUCUUUUCUUUGAUUGACCAAGGAAGCUAGGUAAUGGGACGUGUGGCAAGAAGGGAGUUCGGUGGAGAUGGGAUCGCACGAAAAUAAAACUAUUGGACUGCUCGGUGGAAAGAAAUAAAAUGAUGGUGUUGAGUGCAUGAAAAAGGAAAGAAGAAGCAAGUGUGCGAAGGAGGAGGAGUCGUGCACGAAGAGAUGAAGACCGGCAGAGCUUGUCCAACAAGCUGGAUGAGAGAGAGAAAGGCCAAAAAGUCCAAAAUCUUAGUCAAUGUCUUAAAUGCUUGGUCCCCUUAUCUCCUCAUACUUAUCCCCUUACCCAAUAAUACUUUCCAACAAAUAUAAGUCCACUAAUUAACUUGAUUUGAAGCCAAAAUUCCAGCUCUAUUUAAAGCUCCGAAUUUUCAAUUUCCGGACUUCAAUAUCUUCGACUAAUUCUCCGUUCAACGUCCAAUUUAGCCAAGGAAAAAGCCCAUAUGAUUUUCUGUAAGUGCCCAUCGCCAGAAAGCUCGGCCUGAAAGUCAAAACUCCUUAAAAUUUCGGCCCGUACGAAUUUCCGUUAAUUUUCCGCUACGUCCGAUUCGAUUUUCCGCAAAAAUCUCAUAAUCUCUUAAAAAUCUUCUGAGACUGAGUCGACGUUCUUAAAUUAGCUCGUGACACCACAUAACUUUCAAUUUCUGAAACCGGGUUCGAAUUCAUGGUUAAUUUCCAUUCGACGCGUUUUUAGCGUGACCUAGACUACCGGGUAACUUUCAGAACCUUUCAGUGCAAAUGACCCGUGGUCGAUUUUCUUCGAGCCACUAUGAACCCACUUGACUCAUUGGCGACUUUCGAUUGUCGUGAAAAUCUCGAGAAUUCAAGUACGGACACAGGGUACCAAAACGAUAAGAAAAUCAGUUUAGUGUUGGUCGACGAGAAUUUUCCAAUUUAGUGGUGUCACCCACGAUUAGCCACACAUCUCAAUCGAACCAACAUGUAUAUGAUCUCAAAUCAAUUUAUAUCUGUGCCGUAAUGGUCUUGACAGAUGAGCACGGUCGAGAAGUCGAUUCAUGGUCGAAUUCUCAAGUCUAUUUGCCUUAAAAUUCUUAAUGGCUUUUCCAGAUAGUCUAGUUAUCUCGAGAGUGAUCAGCUCUGAGAACAACUCUAUAGACACGUCAAUGAAAUGCCCGAUUGAUUCAGUAGAAAACAUGGUCGAAAAUCUGGGAUGUUGAUAUUGCUAGUAUGAGUACCUAGAGGGGGUGAAUAGGUGCACAAACAAUUUAUCGAAAUACGGAAGCGAUUCUUAGCAUAUGAUAGAAAGGAAAUUCUCUCUUAAUUAACAAAAUGAAAUACGAUCUAGGUAGAGAGAGUGAGGAAGAGAAAAUUGAACACAGGAUUUAUAGUGGUUCGGCUUAUUCCAAGCCUACGUCCACUCUUCCGCACUGACAGCCCAUCGGCUGGAUUUCACGAUGAUCAAAAGAGAAGUUACAGCACAGCUUUGCCUUGAUUCCACAGUGUAGAUGUUCUACCACACCUCCUCAAGGUUUCUCACAAAUAUAGACUCUCUUUUGUAUACAAGUAUUCGCUCAAAGGAUUUGUCUAAACAGAAAGGAGAUUCGGAUUUUGGAAUUCUUCUAUCGCGCACACCUUGAACAACUAAGACAGUCUUCCUUAUAUACUCCUUUAUGCCAUCAUACCCGUUGGCACUUACCAAAGGAAUUCCUCCAAUCUACCCAUUGGAUGGAAUCAAUUAGGAAGAUUGUUCAAGCUAUUAAAGGAACGUGUUGAUAGCCCAUCAAUCCUGUUUGCCCAUACAAUCAGGAUCUCGGUUUCCAUAAGCAGAACCUUCCAAUAAUAAUUAGGCAAUCACCGGAUCUUCAAUUAUCGAGUCAAUCUUCGAUCAAUCAAAGGACUCCGUUAUGUCUUCUCCAGUUGAUAAGGUUAAAUCCUUAACGAAACAUCCAGUUCUGGAUAACCUUUCUUCAACGGAUUAGAGACUGUCAAUGAGGAUAGAGUUUGAGUCUUGAGUCUGGCUGUCCGGAGGUCUUCAGACUUUAAAUAGCAGAGUCUGCAAGCCUUCAGACUAGACUGAUAGAAACGUUUUGUCAACUUCAAAACACUUCAAGAAGAUUUCUCCAACAAUCUCCCCCUUUUUGAUGGUGACAAAACUUUCCUGCAGAUUUGGAUAUCUUUGACCUGCAAAACAUUUCUCACACAUAUGCAUAUCUUAUAGAGAUAAAUGGCUAACAGAAUAACACUAGAAUCUGCAACCACAGAAAAUAGGUUAGUUAGUAUAUGAUGAAGCCAUUCAUAAGAUAUCAAUAUUGGUUAAUAGAAGCAGUCAAGUCCAAGUCUAGUUCAGUUCUCAUCCAGACACAAACCAAAGUCAAACAGAUUCAAACCACAAAACAAUCCAACAAACAAUUAAAAGUUUAAUGAAAAGUUUUUGAUCAAAUCUUGCAUCUCUCCCCCUUUUUGUCAUCAUUAAAAAGGAUGAGAUGAAGUCAAGAUUGCUUGGGAACGCGGACAAGCUGGAAAUCUUCCAUAGACUGAACGAUGCCUUCCAGCCUUUUAAAGUCUUCCUUUAGCUGUGCAAUCUCCUCACUCUUGGCAUUGGCCUGAUUCUGAACAAAGAGGGCUUGCAUCUUAUCAUUCAAUGAACAGGAAGAAGCUUGACCUUCAUUCUUCAAGCCUUGAACUUCGCAUCCCAAGGCAUAAAUCUGACCUCGCAUCUCCAAAAGAAUAUCCAUGAUUCUACGAAAAUCUGCUCCAUUAUUAGUUUGAGUACUUGCUUCGGCUCGAUCUGAUGGAGUAAAUGCAGACGAUGGUAGAUCAACAAAAUCUUGCAGGUUUGGCGAUGAAACUUCAUGACCUUCCUCUGGAAACUGAGAUGCAUAAACAUCCUCUGGGUCUGCUGGUGAGCGACUGACUCCUUCACUUGCAUCAGGACAUGAAGACUUCACACCUUUCUCCUGAUCUCCCCCUGUUUCAAUGCCUACAGGUGGAGAAGAGUGUUCUUCAGGUUCUCCUUCUUCUCUUCUUUCUUCUUCAGGUCUUUCCUCCUCUGUUUCUUUUUCAGCUUCUAUUUCUUCUUCUUCCUUCUCCUCUGCUUCUUUCGUCAUUUGUUCCGAUUCUUUCUGAGGAACAGGAUGACUUAAAUUCUUCAAAGCCAAUGCAGAGAUGGUGAUGUCUUCCUCAUCAUCUUCAUCCUCAACAAGGAGAGCUCUUCUUCUCUUGGAUGGAGCAACCAUGGGCUCCUUCCCUUUUCUUUUAGCUGCAGAAGAUAUUUGAUGAGAUUUUGCAGGAGUCUUCUCCUUGAAUUUCUCCAACUCCUUGCUCAGUUCCUUCAGACGCAUUUUGGUCACCAUUUUCAGACCUACCACCAUAUGAUCGCAUGGUCGAACACAAAAGAUUUGUGGAGGCUGAAUAUUCAGAUGUCUGAAUAACUUCGUAACAAGGCUUGGGUAAGGGAGUUGACCUCUGUCCUUCAUCAUUGCUCUAUACAUGUGAAACAUCACAGUGUGAGGGAGAGAAAACCUUUUUCCAAAGAGAAUGGCAUACAUCAGCUUGGCCUCUGAACUUGAAACAUCAGUCUUGGAAGUUGAUUUCGGUCGGAGGCAAUUAAUCACAAUCUUAUGAAGCAAGAUGUUGAAUGCACCCAUCCUUAAGUAGGUGAUCUUUUCAUCUGUUCUCCUGUCCUUCACCAGUUCAAGUGUGGCCCGAGCAAUGGAAACUUUGAUUGGCUGAUAUCUUCCUCUUUCUACUUCUAACACAUCUACCAGCAUAUUCAUAUCCACAACAUAGUCUUGGUCUUUAACGCUGAAAGAGAAUCUAUUCGCAUCUAAAAAGCUUAGAUUUGAAUAGAAAUAUGCAGUAAAUUCAGCAUAUGCCUCUGUAGAGUCAGAGCAGAACUUUUCAAGUUGAAGAUAACUGAACUUUUCCCUCAAGUUCAUAUUCAUAGCAUCUAGAAAAUCAAAAUAACACUCCUAGGGUUUAUUACCCCACGCUUUAGCAAUUUCGAGUACACAUCCUUUUGCUCCUUAGAUCUGAACAAAUCUCCCCUUUUUCCUUGAUUUUCAACCGCAACACCCAUUUUUGGUUGAAAUUGACUGUAUAAUUUGUCAUCAUCAUUCCCAUCUACAGGAUUCGGCCCCCAAUCACGAGGAUCACUUGGGAUAUUUGCAAGGGUUUUCUCAGCCACCCCUUUUCGAGCAAUUCCCAAACUUUCCAUUUUUUCAGAAAGAUAUAUUCGUUCCCAUGUCCUUUGUCUUUAAGAAACUCAUCAAUGUAGUUCAAAGGAGCACGAAUUCCUUUUAGGGCACGAUAUAACUGGUAAAUAUAAGCGGGCUUUUGAACUCUUACAGGGUCUGCAUCCUCGAUGAUUUCUUCCUGUUGUUGAUGAUCAACGCCUUGAGGACUAGAUGGAGGAGAAUGACGCUGUUGAGAAUGUUGUGGGCUCGCUUGCUGUUCUGGAGUCACUUCAUCUUCAGUAAGAUCGAAGUGCGUAGGCCCCUCACUCAUCCGCCAUGGUCCCCUGCUUGCGAUUCUUGAGAACUUUCUUGAAGAUGACAUCUUUCUCAGUUUUUGGAAGAUUCCUUGCUUGACUUUCCUAGGAAAGAUGACAACUUUUUGAGGAUUAAACGAAGAAGACAAACGGGAAUGGAGGAUCGAUGCUUUCUAGGGUUUUUUGAGAGAAAAGUGAAGAGGAAUCGACAGUGCACGAUCGGUUAAAAAGAGAGAUAAACGAACCAUCACAAAGGAAAUAAAAAUAUGCCUUUUCAAAAUAACUGUCUUUUUCCGCAAAAAUAGCCAUUUCAAAAAUAACUUCAUUUUUGAAAAUGAAACGAUGCAAUAUUUACGUCAAUUAAAUAUAGCAACAAUUUAAGCACAGUCUGACGAUCGUACCUUUUCAAGAUGAGAUUCAAGAGAGAAAGAUUUAUAGUCUGACGGACGUACCAAGACUGUCUUUCAGAUAAAGUCUUGUAAGUCUAAGUCUGAAAGUCUUUAGACUUUGAUAUCCUCAUACCUCAAAAUGUUGAGUCUGGAACGAAUAGACUCAAAUUGAUUUUUCUCCAAAGGCUUUGUGAAUAUAUCCGCCAGUUGAUUCUUUGAGUCAACAAAUUGAAUUGAAACAUCCCCAUUUUGAACAUGGUCUCUAAUAAAGUGAUGUCGAAUCUCCAAAUGCUUUGCUCUUGAGUGGAGAAUUGGAUUUUUGGUGAGGUUGAUAGCGCUGGUGUUGUCGCAAUUAAUCUCCGUGCAUGAGUCUUCAAUUUCAAAGUCUCUUAGCUGUUGUUUUAUCCAUAGAAUUUGCGAACAGCAGCUUCCCAGGGCUACAUACUCUGCUUCUGUUGUUGAAAGAGACACAGUGCUUUGUUUCCUUGAAAACCAAGACACUGUCCUGCUUCCAAGCAACUGGCAGGUUCCCGAAGUGCUUUUUCUAUCAACUCUGCAACCGGCCAGAUCUGCGUCUGAAUAUCCCAGAAGAUUAAAGUCUCCUUUCUUAGGAUACCAAAGACCGAUGCUUGAUGAUGAAGCCACGUAUUUAAUGAUGCGUUUCGCAGCACUGAGAUGGGAUUCUCUAGGAUCUGAUUGAAACUUAAUCUGUCAUACCAAGCUCGAGGUGCUUGCUUUAAACCAUACAAAUCCUUUUUCAGUCUGAAGACUCAGUCUGGGUUCUUUGGGUCUUCAAACCCUGGUGGUUGUUCCACAUAAACUUCCUCUUGGAUAAAUCCAUUUAGGAAGGCGUUUUUGACGUCCAUUUGGAAUAACCUGAAAUUCUUAUAACAAGCAAACGCAAGUAAUAGUCGAAUAGCUUCUAACCUUGCUACUGGAGCGUAAGUCUCAUCAUAGUCUAUCUCCUUCUUCUUGCGUAUAUCCCUUCNNNNNNNNNNNNNNNNNNNNNNNNNNNNNNNNNNNNNNNNNNNNNNNNNNNNNNNNNNNNNNNNNNNNNNNNNNNNNNNNNNNNNNNNNNNNNNNNNNNNGUACGACCGGAUGAUUUGCGGGCAUGACAUGGCAUGGAGAAAUCUAGUUGGAGAAAAUCAUUCUGAAAUAGAUUUAUUUUGAGAGUUACUUCCCUAGAUGAAUCACUUUCGAUGAAUAAAUAGUAGUUAGACUGUGCAUAGAACAAAUUCAUGCGUCCGCAGGACAUCAACAAAAUCCUCGAGGACAGAGGGAAUCUCUUGUGAGCACAAGGAGCAUGGCAGCAUUAGCUUUUUUUUCUAGGAGAAAGGGAAUCUCUGGUUAGCACGAGAAGCGUGGGAGCAUUUGCUGGUUAGCUUUCUUUUCUAUUAUUUUUAGUAAUAGAAAAGGCCAGCCAAGUCAAGACAGUGCCAGAUCUCAGAUCUCAAUGAAAGCACCGUCCGCAUGUACUGCUGAGAUCACGACAGGAGCAUGCGAGUAUUGUUCCUUAGUUUUCUCUUCUAUUUUCGUUCAUCAAUGUAAAGAGGCAAGUCAAGUCAAGUCGCGCUGGAUCUCGAGCUUCGAUCAAAAGCACCAGGAGCAUGUGAAAGUUGCACGUUGUUGCAUGUGAGUAUUUGCUCGUUGGGUUCCCCAAGAUGCUGCGGAAAUUAUGCGUGCAAUGACUGUUCUUUCCAAGGCACGCCUCACGGCGAUUCGAAUAGGAUGAAGAGUCUUGUACCGUUUUGGGAAUAUUCUAAGAUUUAGAAGAGAGAGGAAAAGAGGAUUAGUAAUAACUACAUCUCUACUCAAUUGGCUUCCCUUUACACUUUAUUAGAUAAUGGUAUUUAUACCCACACAAUGUGCCUGGGAAAUGAAAUAAUCUAAUCCAACAAGGAAAUUGAUUGUCUUAGAAAAUAAUGAAAGAAUAAAUAAUAUCCUUAAUAUCUAAUAAUAUCUCUAAAAAUAUUCUUUAAUAGGGAAAUCUCUAAUUUCCAUUUACAUACUUCAUCCCGUUGUUGUUGUUAGGCUUGGUAGAUCAUUGCCGUGCCAGAGAACAUGUGGGUUCAACGACAUUGUAGAUUCAUUCAAAGGUCUCAAAGUCAUUAGUUCGAGUUAAAGUGGACUGCAAAAUGCAUGUGAACGAAUUCGAAAAGUACACUUGUAGGAAUAAACCAGGUGGAGACGAUGUCAGGGCCAUCCAUGAAAUAUUUGAGUCGUAGGGACCAAAAUAUUUUAGAAAUUUGUGGCAUAAGUUUUGUUAUAUUGAUGCCAUUUCAUUAAUAACUUAGUUGGAUCUUGAGGAGAAGCUUCAAUGAUUGGACUUAUAGCUCAAGACCUAUAGAUGGACGUAAGUGAUCGCCAACGCAUUUUCUAGGAUUGCCUUUUCCACAUUUUUUUUUUUUUUUGAAUUUCCACCUCUUUUAACAAUAUUAUGGAAAAUGAAUGAGAAUAGGGGGGACUUUAGGAAUUCAAAUUGUUUGUAUUGGUAUUAGGUGUCAAAUAUUUAUCUAAUUCGACACUACAUGUGUUUAUGCGGUACACCAUUAGAUAAGUAUCACACAACUCAUGUCAACAUGAUUCGAGUUAAAUCCAUGAAGACUUAAGCGAACCAUUAUCAAAGCUGACAAUAUUUUAUCUAGUGACAACAAGGCUCAGGUGGAGUUUCUUGGCACAACAAUGUAAGAACUAGGAUCGGGAUGUUGAGCGUUUGAUCGGUGUUGGCAUUUGGUAUAACUCUUGUUUAUAAUUUUUUUUUUUUUUUUGGUGACCCAAGAUCUGCUGAGCUCAACUUUCGCUUACGCUAAUCGCCAACCCAUGGCCCGUACAGUGCGCGGUGCACCUCGGACCAAGCGUCAAUACCUAGGGAUAACUCUUGUUUAUAAUUGAUACUACUAAUUAUCCAUAUAAUCAUAACCCUAAAUUGGGGCUAUGCAUUUCAUAAAUUCUGUACAUCUCUAAUUAAAGGAAUCUGUUUGGACCUUGUCGUAGGACAUGUGAUUGUGAUCGUACAAUUUAGACUUCAAGCGUCAAGGGUUUUUUUUCCAUGUGUUGAAACUUUCAACUCCAGAUUGCUUCUGAAUUUGUGUAUCGUAUGACUUAUUGAGUUGUCGUUUCUUUUUUUUCUUUUUUUCUUUUUUCUUUUGGGCGGAUAGCGAGCAUACUGGGGUUCCUUCUCAAAACACAUGAUCAGGUGAUAUUAUGUUUAAUUUUAAUGCAUUUACUUGUAAGCUUUUGAUUCUAGAAUAAUGAGGUGGGGUUAGUCACUUACGUACUAAGCUGUUGAGCUUUUUUCAUGGCCGCUUAUCAUUUCGGAUUCUGAAGAAGCUUACAAGGCUAGAGAAGAAUGUUCGUAGUUAUGAGUAAAGAAGUUAGUAUCUGCUCUUACCUCAGGAGGUUUUAUGAGCUAAGCUGGUUUUCAGAGUAGAAAAAAAUAAGCAAACUAUAUAGCUAUAAUACCCUAGGUGCCAAAGUAAUCACACGUUGAUCUAGUGUUUAAUGCAAUCUCUCUUCAUUUAAUAGCUUCAGUCUUUCAAAUCACAUCUUCUAAUGCUAAAUAAGCUAAUGUUUGAAUACUCCUCUAUUGGGCUGCGAAAAAUCAUAUUUCGAUGAAGAACCCGUUGGCCGAGAAUGUCAGCAUGAGACAAAAAGUCCGACAAAAGAUUACAUAAAAAGGAAAAAAGAAUCACCGAAUAAUUAUUCGAUUACUGAAUAUUUUUUCGAUUACGGAGAACUGUUGGCCGAGAUUAAUGCAGCACCGAAAGAAUAAAAUCAAUGUAAAAUGUUAAAAUUAUUAAUUUAAGGAGAGAGAUAAAAGAGUGACUUGGGUGGAGGGUAGUGACUAAAUAAUCUUUAAGCAUGAUAUAGCAUGGAGAAAUCUAGUUUGAGAAAACCGUUUUGGAAGAGAUUUAUUUUGAGAGUUACUUUCCCAGACGAAUCUCUUUCACGAAAUAAAUGAUAAUCAGACUGUGGAUAGAACAAAUAUAUGCAUUCCCCAAACUUUCAUUAAAAAUAAUCCUCGGGGACCAACCGAAUCUCUUGUCCGCACAAGGAGCAUGGGAGCAUUGCCGGUUUGUUAUAUUUUCUAUGUUGUUUACUGAUAAAAAAGUCCAGCCAAGUCAAGACAGCGCUGGAUCGCAAAUCUCAAUGAAAGCACCUUCCGCAUAAUGCUCAGCAUCGGUGCAGAUCAAAUCACAGCAGGAGCAUGUGAGUAUUGCUCGUCAGUUAUCUUUUCUAUCUUUACUUAUUAACAUGCAAAGCAGAGCCGAGUGACGAUGCAUGUGAGCACGUGCUCACUUGCUCGUUGGGUUCCGCAAGAUGCUGCGGAAUUUACGCGUGCAGUGUCUCUUUCUCUCUUUUCUUUUUUUGCGGCAUGCCUCACGGCGGUUUGAUUAUUAUGAAGAAUAUUGGACCAUUGGAUGGCAAUAACUCAACAUUUUUCAAUAGAAAUGAGCGCGUUAUCAAUGAAUUCUGUUUCACAUUACAAAAUUUACUGUUGCUUGUGUUUUUUUAACAUCGGAGAUAACAUUAGCUCUCCAAAGUAAAGGCUUAAUGAAUGCUACUUUUCCAUUUCAUUUCACAUUUGAAUUUUGUCUUUGGCCGGAAAUUGGACCCAAUCUUGGUUGUUGGCAGUUCUAAAAACCUAUUCCUAGGAAGCUUCAUUUAAAUAAGACAACGUUACUUUUAUAUCCUCAUUCAUCUCCAAGCUGAUGUCGUGAUGUCAUUUCAAUAAGAAACUUUGUUGUGAUGUUAUUUCUCUUUGAAGUUUCUAUUGCGAGAAUGUGUUUGGUGUCAACUAGUUAUGACAUCUCUCAACUCUUGGUAAGUAUGAGGAUAAUGUGUUUCUUCGACAACUCUACUAAGAUUUGGACUUGAUGGAGGUUCUCUUUACGUAGUCUCUUCCCAUUUGCAUUUUACUAUUGGUGGUUCCAAAUGGCAACUUAGAAUUAUUUCUUUGUCUAAUUUGUUUUCUCUUUUAUCCUCUAAUUGGCAAAUUAUAGAAAUCAUCACACAUUCCCCAUUAAUCUCCACAUUUGAUUGAUAUCAUCAAUCGGUUGUUAUCUGAAAUCUCUUUUCUCUACAAAAGAAAUAGGAUUUGAAUAUCUGUCAUAGAGUGAAAUGGGAAAAGAGUGACUCCUAUGGGAACCAUUGAGUAGUUCUUGAACUUCAAUUCAUUUCAUGGAACAUGUCUGAAUGGAACGAAAACAAAAAUGCUUCGCCCCUUAAGUCUUCUAUUACAUUUUUAUGCAAAUCUCAAAGUCUAGAAAGCAUUAGCUGAAUGGCAGACCCUCAAGGAAGGAUGAGAAGCAACUUGAAUGAAAAGUUAUCUUGUUUUCACUCUGAAAACUCGUUACAUCAUUAAUAUCGGUGUCUGGAGCUUUGGAUACUUCUUCUUCUUUUUUACUUACUUUUUGCAAUUUAAUUGUACAAAAAAGCUCACGUUGAGGACGGCAGUCCAAAGUUGACAUAAGUGCAAAUAAUAUAGAUGAGAAUUGCACAAUUAUGUACAGUUGAUUAGGAACAUCGUGUUGAAUGCCUUUUCUAAUUUUACAUUUGAGUUAAUAGAAGAGUCGUCCCGAGUAGUAAAUUUCUGAUCAAGUCGAAUUCGAGAAAUUUUAUCCAUAAUCCUAUAUACUAGCAAUAAUGAACCCUCUAUGUUGUUGGAAUUCAGACAUCACUGCCAUACCCGGAGAACAUUUGGGUACAUCCGACAUUGUAGAUCGAUUUACAGGUCUCAAAGUUGUAAGUUUGGGUUAAAGUAGUGUACGGGAAGGAAUUUGAAAAGUACUCUUGUAAGAAUGACCAAGGUAAAGCCAAUGUCGAGGGCGUUAAUAAACAAAAAUUUGGGAUGGACGGACCAAAUUAUUGACGUUUUCCGUUAAUUAUUUAUCUGGACCUUGGGAAGCCUCAAUUGCUUUCAUUUACAGUUUGAGACCUAUGGAUGGAUAUAAGUGAUCGCUGACUCAUUUUCAUUGCUUUGUUUUCCACGUAUUUUUCAAAUUUCCAAUAUUUUGGAAAAAGAAUAAAAAAUAAGGGCAAAUUAGGAAUUCGAAGUGUUUGUCGAUUUUAGGGGUCAGAUAUUUAUCUCAUUCCACAUCACCUAUACUUGAAUUGUUGCACUGGUGAAUUAGUAUUGUACAAACUCAAAUCGACAUGACGCAAUUUAAAGCUGUCCAGACGUGAGUGAACCGCUACCAAAGCUGUGCAAGCGUGAUAGCAAGGCUUGGGUCGAGUUGCCUAAUACAACAAGAUUAGAAUCGGGACUAGGAUGUUGGGUGUCGUAUCUGUGUUGGCAUGCUAUGCUAUUUUUUCUAUUGCCAAUUAAUACUAUCUACAACAAGAUCUUCAACUAAUCAAAUCAAAUCGUGGCAUUUGGUAUAUCUCUUGCUUAUAGUAGAUAGUAUCAUGAUCCUUAGUUGGGGCUAUGCAUUUCAUGCGUUCUGUAAAUCUUCAAUUAAAGUAAUAGUUUGGACCUUGUCGUAGGACAUGUGAUUGUGAUCCUACAAUUGAGAUUUUGAGAGACAAGAUUUUACCUAUGUAUCGAAACUUUUUUUUUGUAAUGCCAAGGAUCCGGCCUAACUCAUCGGCCUAGUUCACAUUCGAGAGCACAACACCAACUAGACCUCGAGAGAAAUUAGCCCAGCAACCCACUGUCGGGGCUCCCUGCUUAAAUCACGGAACUAUUUUGAGAGUUGUGACAACUCAGGGAGUCAAACCCUUGACCUGGUGCCAAAUCAGGAGGUAUGCCUCAACCAGCGCAGCCAUGCGUGGGUGGGUUAUGUAUCAAAACUUUUAAUUCCAAGUUACUUCUGAAUUUUUGUAUUACAUAACUUAUUGGAUUUUCUUUUCCUUCUCUUUUUUGGAAAGCGAGCAUAUAGGAUUUCCUUUUCAAAUCACUUGUAGAUCAUGAAGUAUAACGUUCAAUUUUAAUCUUCUUACUCGUAAGUUUUUGAUCCUAGAAGGAUGGGUUCCCCAAGAUGCUGCGGAAAUUACGCGCGCAGUGAGUGUUCUUUCCAAGGCACCCCUUACGGCGAUUCGAAUAGCAUGAAGUAUUGUUGAAUUACUAUUCAAUUACAGAGAUUUGUGAGCCGAUAAUUUACUAACGUGACACCGAAAGAAUAAAAUGGAUGUAAAAUGUAAAAAACUAUUUAUUUAAGGAGAGAGAUAAAAGUGGCUUGGGGGUAGGGUAAUGAUUUGAUAAUUUUUAAUCACAAAGUAGUGUGGAGAAAUCUAGUUUUAGAAAAUUAUUUUGAAAAAGAUUUAUUUUAGUGUUACUUUUCUAGACAAAUAAAAAGAAGGUUAUGCGUCCUGAAGACUUUUAAUAACAAAAUCCCACGAUUGAUAUGCUUUUGUCAUUGGCUCAUGUAUAUUAGCGGCAUAUUAGAGAAUGAAAGCAAGUCAAGUCAAGAUAAUGAAAGCCCAUAGAUAGGUUCCAAGCUAGGUAGCAUGGACACAGUGUCAUGGACACGCGACGCGACAUGACACGACACGACAUGCGACAAAUCAUUUUUUAAAAGGUAGAGAAUUUCGAUACGUUUCGACACGUUAAGUAUUAAAUAAAUAUUUUUAUAUAUACUUGAUUAAUUAUUAUGUUUAAAUUAAUUUAUUCAAAUUCAUAAAUAAAUAAAUAAUAAAUAAAAUCUAUAAUAAAUCUAUACUAAUAACAUGUAUUAAUAAAGUUAUUCAACAUACGCAAAAGCUCUCGAUCCGUUUCUCUCAUCGUCUUGAAAAGAAAGAGCGAACUUUUACAGAAUUAAUAAAGUUAUUUAAUGUUUAAUAUUUCUUUUUAGGGUUAAAUGGUCCCAUCCAUUUAUUUCCCCCAACCCACCCACCGCCUGCACACGUCUCUUCCCAAAGUCACACUGCACGAGUGUUUCUUUUUUCCCCAAGAAGCCGUCGACACAUCCUCUCUCUCUCCUUGCUCUUCUUCCUAAAAUUGAAAACCCUAGCAAUUGGCGAUCGCCUUCCGUCUCCUCCCCCUCGCUCGGUCUCCACCUCUCUCACCGCUGCCUCGCCUCCGUUCCCCCCUUUGCCGUCUUAGCCUCGCAUCCAGCCCUCCAUCACGGCCUUUCCGUUUCAAAUCUCGGCUUUGCAGUCGGCGGUCGCAGCCAACCAAGACGAUCGAGAAGGCUUCUCAGUGUUGCAGUCGGCGGUCGGAGCCCUCCCUCGUCGUCGCUCGCGGCGUCGCCUCAGUUCCCUCACCCUUGCCUUCACCCUCCGUCACUUUCUUCCCUUCGCACCUGCGGAUCCGCCCACAAACCUCCGGACACGCGCGUCGGAAAGAGUUGACCACGUGUCGGAAACUUCGACACGUGAUAACCGCGUGUCCGAGCGUGUCCGACCGUAUCCGAGCGUGUUGGAUAGAUACGGAGGCCCUCUGAACGUGUCCGUGCUUCCUUGGCUCCAAGCACAGCAGGAGCAUGUGAGUAAUGCUCGUCAAUUCUCUUUUCUACUUUUUCUUAUUAAUAUAAAAGGCAAGUCAAGUCAAGUCACGAUGCUGCGGAAAUUACGCGUGCAAUGAUAGUUCUUUCCGUGGCAUGCCCUGCAGCGAUUCGAUUAGCUUGAAGAGUCUUGGACCAUUGGAUAGCAAGAACUCAAACAUUCUUCAAGCACACAUGGAGAAUGUUUUGUGUCGGUAAUCCAACUUCAAAGGCUGAAAAUCGGAGGAGAUCCCGAGGCUCUGUUGUUUGAGCAUUCGUCAGGUAGUCGACAACGUCUUACUCUUUCUCCGUUUCCUGUUCUGAUUGCUCCAUUUUCUUUUGAUGAGUUAUGUAAGAGUUUCUAUUUUUGUUUGAAUGUAGCUUCGAGUUUGACUACCGAGAGACAUUUCUGCUAUUCCCAGAUCUGGGAUUUUGUGUAUCUCUCCUCCGUUUCCUACUCCAUCAGUCUCUUUUAAAAUCCUCUUGAGAUGAAAAGAAGAGAACCCACUCAUUCAAAAGAUUCGAUCUACGAGGCGUCUUCCUCAUCAACCUCUCCACUUUUAGGUGAUUAUGAAGGAAAAACUAAAAGGCCAAAAGGAAAUUACUACGAUGUGUUCUUGAGCUUCAAUGGGAAAGACACUCGCAAAAGGUUCACCGAUCAUCUCUAUGAAAGGCUUGUCAAGGCGAAAAUUUGUGUGUUCAGAGACGACGAUAAGCUCCCUGUUGGUGGGAAGAUUGGUCCGGAACUUCUUCGCAGCAUUAGGCAGUCCAAGAUCUCGAUUCCGAUUAUCUCCACGAACUAUGCUUCUAGCAAAUGGUGCCUUCGGGAGCUAGCUUGGAUGUUGAAGUGUAAGAGAAGCGGAGGGCAUAUAGUGUUGCCCAUCUUUUACAACGUGAAUCCCUCGCAUGUGCGCCAUCUUACAGGAAGAUUUAGAAAGGGUAUCGAGGCACAUAAAGAGACAGUAUAGACAGUAUAGACGAAAAGAUUUUGAAGGAAUGGAAAAAAGCGCUCAAAGAAUUGAAGGAAUGGAAAGAAGCACUCCAAGAAGUUGGUUCUUUGAAAGGGUGGGAAUCUAAGAAAUAUAAAAACGGGUACAUUAUUCUCAACCAAAUCGUUGUUUAAUUUCUCACAAAUAGAUUUUUUUUUUUUGAAAAAGGAUAUAAAAUAAAUAUAUAUCCCCUCAUAUGCUGAAAUUCAUUGUUAUUUGAUAGGCAUGAAGGAGCAUUGGUCGAAGAAAUUGUCAAAAUUGUCAAAAAUGUUCUGAAUGAGUUGAGAAGAACUUCUCAGAUAAUUGUUCCCCAACAGUUGGUUGGAAUUGAUGACCGUAUCGAUCUAAAGGAUUUAAAAAGAACUUUUCAGCUAAUCGUUCCCCAACAAUUGGUUGGAAUUGAUGAUUGUAUUAAACAUAUUAUGAGCUUCAUAGAUGCCAAAUUCAAUGGUACAUGGAUUAUUGGAAUUUAUGGGAUGGGCGGUAUCGGUAAGACGACUCUUGCAAAGGCGUUAUACAACAAACUCUUCAGUCAAUUUGAGUAUCAUAGCUUUGUGGCAGAUUACCGGGAAACAUUGCAGUGCAAGGGUAUUGCAUGCCUACAAAGGCAACUCUUAUCUGGCCUUGGAAGUGCAUGUGAUGUGUCUAGUGUGGAUGAGGGAACCAAUCUUAUCAAAUCUCACUUUGCACAUAAGAAAGCCCUCAUUUUUCUUGAUGAUAUAGGUGACGAUGCUCAAUUGAAAUAUUUGGUCGACCGUGCUUGGUUUGAAGCAGGAAGUAUAAUCAUCAUAACAACUAGAGACAAGAAUACUCUUAAUAAAAUUAGGGCAGACCCAAUGUACGAACUCCUUGAGUUGUCUCAGGAUAAAUCAUUGAUUCUUUUUAGUAGACAUGCAUUUCAACAGGAUUUCCCUCCGAGUGAUUAUGAGGCUCUCACUCAUGAUGUCGUAUCUACCACUGGAGGGCUUCCAUUAGCUCUUGAAGUUAUAGGCUCAUUGUUAUAUGAAAAGAAAAUAAAAGUAUGGCAAGAUAUAUUACAGAAAUUGAAAAAAACGCCCAAUAAGACAGUGCAAGAGAAGUGAAAAUAAGUUAUGACGCAUAAUNNNNNNNNNNNNNNNNNNNNNNNNNNNNNNNNNNNNNNNNNNNNNNNNNNNNNNNNNNNNNNNNNNNNNNNNNNNNNNNNNNNNNNNNNNNNNNNNNNNNCGACAAGGAAACCAUUUGGAAAAGGUAAAAGAGCUGAAUUUCCUCUGCAUUUAAUCCAUUAUGAUGUAUGUGGUCCAAUGAAUGUGAGAGGAAGGCAUGGGGCUGUUUAUUUCAUCACUUUUAUAGAUGAUUAUACUCGAUUCGGAUAUAUCUAUUUGAUUUCUCAUAAAUCUGAAGCAAUAAGUUGUUUCAAAAUGUUUAUGAACCUGGUAGAGAAUCAAUUAGACAAGAAAAUAAAAGCAUUGAGAUCCGAUCGAGGUCGAGAAUAUUUAUCUGAUGAGUUCAGAAAAUUAUGUGAUGAAAAAGGAAUAGAAAGACAGUUGUCUAUUCCAUAUACUCCUCAACAAAAUGGUGUUGCGGAGAGAAGAAACAGAACCCUACUGGAAAUGGUUAGGUCCAUGAUGGCGCAUGCUAACUUACCUAUUACUUUUUGGAGUGAUGCGUUGUUAACUGCUGCCUAUAUACUUAACCGUGUGCCUUCCAAAUCAGUUACUUCCACUCCAUAUGAGUUAUGGACAGGUAGAAAACCGGACUUAAGUUUUCUUAAGCCAUGGGGUUGUGCUGCCUAUACACAUGAGUCAUUUCACAAGUUUGGGAAAUUGGGUCCCAGAGGAAAGAAGAGUAUUUUCAUAAGAUACUCGGAACACUCGAAAUGGUAUGUGUUCAUAGGUGAGCAGGAAAGUGGGAGUAUAACUGAAUUUGAAUCACGGGAUGUCACAUUCUUAGAGGAUGAGUUUCCUAAGAAGGGCGAAAUAGGGGAAGAUUACUCCAUAUUUGAAACCUUGGAUCAAGAUAAUGANNNNNNNNNNNNNNNNNNNNNNNNNNNNNNNNNNNNNNNNNNNNNNNNNNNNNNNNNNNNNNNNNNNNNNNNNNNNNNNNNNNNNNNNNNNNNNNNNNNNNNNNNNNNNNGUGGGAGCAUAAUGGGGAAUGAUGUACAAAGUGUACAAUCUCCCAUACGGCGAACAAAUCGCCAAAGUAUUCCCCGUCAACGGUUUGACAUUGAAGGGGAAACUUUUAUGGUUGCUCCACAAGAUGAGGAUGAGCCAAGAAAUAUUAAUGAGGCUCUGAAUUGCCCUAGUAAGGAAAAAUGGAUUCAUGCAAUGGAAGAGGAAAUGGAGUCAAUGAAAUCAAACCAGGUCUGGGAACUGGUUGAUCUUCCAAAAGGACGCAGAGCUAUUGGUAACAAGUGGAUUCUCAAAAUAAAGCGAAAGGCUGAUGGCUCGAUAGAAAAGCAUAAGGCUCGCCUUGUGGCGAAGAGGUAUAAUCAACAGGAAGGAAUUGAUUAUGAAGAUACAUUUUCUCCUGUAGUGAGAUUUACCUCGAUUCGCAUUAUUCUGGCAAUAGUAGCUAGUAUGGAUCUUGAGUUACAUCAAAUGGAUAUAAAGACUGCUUUCCUCAAUGGAGAAUUAGAGGAAGAAAUAUAUAUGGAACAACCUGCUGGUUUCAUAGUGAAAGGCCAAGAAGAAAGGGUAUAUCAACUUUUGAGAUCGAUAUACGGCCUUAAGCAGUCAUCGAGACAAUGGUAUAUACGUUUUCAUAAUGCCAUAAUGGCAUAUGAUUUUACGAUGAUUGAUGAGGAUCAUUGUGUAUAUAUCAAAAGAUCCAAGGAUCAAUUUGUGAUCAUAUCAUUAUAUGUUGAUGAUAUACUGAUUGCCGGAAGCAAUAUGGAGUUUGUUAAUACAGUCAAGAGUUGGUUGUCUUCCAACUUUGAGAUGAAGGAUAUGGGUGAGGCUGCAUACAUUCUUGGAGUUAAGAUUUCAAGAGAUCGUUGUCUCUUUCGCAAGAAACAUAUAUAAAUAAGGUUCUUGAACGAUUUCGUAUGCAAGAUUGUAAACCCAUAGACACUCCUAUUGCAAAAAUUGAAGGAUUGAGCCAUAGACUGUGUCCAAGGACUCCACAAAAUAAGGAACAAAUGAAACAUGUUCCUUAUGCUAGUGCUGUUGGGAGCUUGAUGUACGCUAUGAUGUGUACAAGACCCGACAUAUGUUUUGCAGUUGGAAUGGUGAGUAGAUACCAAUCCAAUCCAAGUCCAGCACAUUGGAAAGCCGUUAAGAGAAUACUGAGGUAUCUGAAGGGAACUGCUGAUUUCAAGUUGAAUUACCAAGGAAAGGAUCUGCGACUUGAAGGCUAUUCAGAUGCUGAUUGGGGAGGAGAUUUAGAUGAAAUGAAAUCUACCUCUGGAUUUACUUUCUUACUAAACAAUGGCGCCAUAUCAUGGAGCAGUAAGAAGCAAACGUGUAUAGCCUUGUCCACGAUGGAAGCUAAGUUCGUGGCAUUAUCAGCAGCGGUACAAGAAGGAGUUUGGCUUAAGAGAUUUUUGGAUCAUUUAGGUGUUAUUGAGAAAGUUGCAAAUCCAUUGUUUGUUAACUGUGAUAGCCAAGCAGCUAUAGCGUACACCAAAGAUCCAAAAUAUCAUGGCAAGGCCAAACAUAUAGAUACCAAGUAUAACUUUGUCAAGGAUAUGGUUGCACGAAAGGAUGUGAACUUACAGUACAUAUCUACGCAUAGAAUGGUAGCAGAUCCUAUGACAAAGCCAAUACCUAGAGAUGUGUUUUGUGGUCAUGUAAAAUCUCUAGGAUUGCGUAGAGUCUGAUGUACUGGAUUGUAAUUUCCCUGAGUUGUUCACAUUUAUGAACUAGUGUUGUUUCAUUAUUAAUGCCUAUGAAUCUUUGUUUGAUCUUUAUGCAUCUUAAUGCUCAGUGAAUUACUUUAAGUUGAGGAAGUAUGUCGGACAGAUAAAAGAUUAGCCCACUCACACGGGUAAUCGCCUCUAUUUACUGUGUGAUAAAUAGAGAUGAGACUAUAUUUAAGCUUAUUAUCUAGGCGAUAAUCGAGAGCUCAAGCUUAAAAUACAUAUGUCGCCUUAACUAAGUGUUAAGAUGAAGACAUAAUACUUACGAUGUCCAAAAGUAAAAUACCCCACAUAUUUUAUUUUAUCUGUCUAAGAUGCCAGAUGUGAGUUCUGAUGAAUUUUGUAAAUGAGUAGAUACGUGAACUCAAGUUAGACAUUGGGUAUGUCUGAACUAUCAUUUGUACGGUAUUGAAAAAUGUAGACAUACGCUCCAUGGGAAAGGAGUUAAUACCGUAAUACGUAUUUCAUACUACGUAUGCAUGAGACAACCAAUAAGAGUGGCAAAAAGUUUGAUCUCAACUUUUAUGACGUGUGAGACUCUUGAGGAAAAAAGUUCCUCAAUUUUUAGUGCCCUCAUGACUUUUACUUAUUCUCAAGAUUUCUAUUUAGUGUUUGCUAUCUUAGGAUGUUGCCAAUGGUCAUGAAUUGAUUCAAUCUAAUUGGACAUUUCUAGAAAAGCAAGCUAAACUGAAAUUGAGAGUUUGAAGGAAAGAGGAAGAUCGAUUUUGGAGAAUCACAUUGUACUUUUGUAUUCACUGGUCGACCAAUUAUGACUGUUUUUGUGAUAACUGUAAUUGUGAAUACAAUAUAUAUAUAUAUAUAUAUAUAUAUAUAUAUAUAUAUAUAUCAUUGUUUAAAGGAGAUCAAGAGAGAUAUAAAUGUGAUUGAUCGAUCUAGGGUACUGCAUACUAAAUCUACUCAGAGUAUGACGCCCAAUAUGAGCUGCUAUAUAUUCCUAACAGAUGUAUAGCAACGAGCUCUCAAAGUAUGCUGGUUGCACGGAUUAUUCACCGGUAUGAAUGUUGAAGAGAGGUCAAGAGAAUCAUAUUCCGCCCACCAUGUGCGAGUGGGAGAUGAUGGUUUUAUUAGUGAUGGGCUUAAGGCCCGUCCGCCCAUGUUGGGCCUAAAAACCCGGCCCACAGAAUUAGGGCCCGUGGAUGGAGGGACGUAUAAAAGGGAGGAGAGAGAGGGAGAACGCACCUUUUGGAAAUCAGAACGUACGUACGUCUCCCUCUCCCUCUCUCUCUCUCUCUCUCUCUCUCUCUCUCAAAAGGAAAACAGUAAGGCUCCAGCAACGUUUUUUCUUCCCUUCAACCACGAUUUGGCAUCAUCACAUCGAACAAGGGCUAAAUUCUCUUCCUCUUAUCUGCGUCGGUGUUUAAUCUGUGGCUAACAAGGUACGCUUGAAUCCGUGGUGUGCUUGAAUCCGUGGUGUGCUUUAGGAUCGGUGAUACAUGAUUUUCCCGGGCUUGUCUUCCGCAUUCGUUUUAGGGGUUCGAUUUAGUGUCGAAUCCGGUUUUCGGGGAUCCGUUAAUUCCCAACAGAUCUUGUGUGAUAUCAAUUUGAAUAUUUCGUUAUCUAAUUUGAUUGAUUUUUGUUAUCUUUGUCAGUAUUGUCAUAUCCAAAACAAAUUUCGAGCAUCGGUGAAGUAGAAUAAUUUCCUAAUUUUCACAGUCCAAUUUCAUGCACGGAAUACAACUCAUGAUCGCAUGGAAAAUCGGUCAAUCCAAUCUCUCGCUUGAGAUACGACUUGCAAUUGCAUGGAAAAGCACAUGAUUUGAUUUGUUUCGACCGAUUAUCUUAUUUUUCGUUUAGUUGGUGAUGGAGUUUAGGAUUAAAAUGAUAAAGUCAAAUAUGCACGAAUUCACAUUAGUAUUAUGAUGCAAUUAAAUUAUUUUUUUCUCAAUAAUUUUGAAUGAAUAGGCCUCUCUCUAUAUAAUAUAUUUAAAAAUAUUCAUGUGCAAAAGACCUAGUGAAGUCACAGCAAGACUUGCUGAAAGCAACAGACGCUUGGGGGCUGGAAUCGAAAAGUGGCCAAAUAAGAUCGACUGUGUUUAAUUGUAAGAUGAAAAUUACGAAAGUUAUAAGCCGCUAAAGUUAGAUGCCACACACUUCUUAUGGAAGAAAUCUUAUAAAUUUAUUUGGUAAUAUUAUGCUAAUUAUUUGGAAAUUGCAUGCUUGGGUUCCGAAGCUAAGUUAUUAAUUUUAUUUUUGAAUUAAAAAAAAAGAGAGAUUUUGACAAAGGGUUGGGCUUAAACCAGCUCUCACUUGGUGUAAUUAAUUUGGUUUGAGUCAGUUUAGGUUGAUUCAGGCUAAAAACACUCUUAAGCUAUAUUUGGUAGUCUAGAUUUUUUACCAGAAUAUGAUUUGAUAUGAUAAGAUAUGAAAUCUAAGAAUUUUAUUAUAUCCUAUUCACUUUUUGGUGAUUAGAGUAAUAAAAUCAUAUAUAUUUACAUCAUAUUAUGUACAUUAUUUGGUAUAAAUGGCAUAUUAAUAUAAAUAAAUAAAUAAAUUUACAAACGAAAAUGUUUAAAAAUCUCUCAGACCACUCUUGUUUACUCUAUUUUAUUUGCUUGUUUAUUUUAUUUUCCUCUCUUUUUUAUGAAUUUCUUUUUUAUUUCUUUUUAACCCUCCCAUCAUUCUCUAAUAAAGAAAAGCUUUAACCUUCAAAAAUGUUAGGAAGGACUUCAAUUAACACGGAAAUGUUAUAAUUAAAGAGAAAUGAUUUGGUGACAGUUUUUAAUCUACAAUGAGAAUAAAAAUAUGUUCUAGACCACAAAAAAUCAAAUAACAAAUAAUUAUAAAUUGCAGUGGGUUCAUUCCUUCAAGAAUUUGGGGCUCACAAGUUGUUAUUCUCACCGUAGACUAGAUACUGUUAUGCUAGCAAAGCUCUUAAUUAAAUAAUGAAUUUUUGUUCCAUGGUAUCCAAUCUCACAUCAUCCUAAAAAAUUGAAAUUUGAUCAGGCAGAACCUAGCUCUAGAGAAUCAAUUAGGUAGAGAGUGAGAGAGGGGAUAAUAUAAGCCGAUUGCGUAUAUAAAUUAGUUGGGCAUGAAGGCCGAUUGCUUGAUUAUCAAGGCCCAUUAAACACCACUAUCUGAUUUAUAGUUAUGAAAAUAUCCGACUUCUUAACCAACUACACAAACCCUUAAAAAGGGAUUGAGCUUACAAUUUAUGUUGACUUAAUUAACACGUGGCCCAAAAUAUAUUUAACCUUUGUGUCACCUUCUAUAUAAUUUGACAGACCAUGUAUUUUUCAAAUAUUAUUCCAUUGCUUUAGUCAAAACCAACAUCUAUUUUUUUAUUAAAAAGAUGUGUAGAAGUCAUUGGUUUUCUUUCAUAUUCCAAUUUCAAUCUCCCCCAAUGACCACAACCCAUGGAAGAUCCAUAGCUUUCAUACUUUCUUGAAUGUUGGAGAAUCAUAAUAACAUUCGGGUCCCCACAUCCAUAAAACCGAAUUAUGUGAACACAGCAUGGAGUUGAUGAGGGUUUCAAGGGGGCUCACUCGAAAACCCGUCGGAAGUUUCUUGCAUCUUAUUGGAGCAAAUUCAUGGUGUCUUGCUCACUUCCCUUCACCUUCCCAUUACAUUUCCCCAACGAUUCCAUUUAUUUAAUGGAAGAGCAAGUCAAGUCUUGCUGGAUCUCAAAUUUCAAUCAAAGAAUUUGCGUAGGUGACGCGGUGGCACCUUCCACAUAAUGAUGACGAAAUCACCGGUGAGUAGCUCAGCAUUCUUCAAGCACUCAGCAUUGUUCAGGAGCGCACCGUAAAAAAAGCAGGGAUUAGGAGCACCUUUAUUGCAAGUUGGUCUUCUUUUCUAAUUUUUUUCUACUUUUCCUUUAAAAGAAAAAGAAAGUGAAGAAGCACUUGCAUAGGUUCCCCGCAACUUCCGCAUAAUGCUGCGAAUAUUACGCAUGUGAUGACUCAGCAUUCUUUAAGCACUCCGCAGUCAAUACUCUUCAAGCACGCACAGUAAAGAGUGUUUUGUGUUGGUAAUCCAACAUGUAAGGCUGAGGAUCGGAGGAGAUGACAGCACUGAGUGGGUUGUUUUGUUCGAACACUUCUCAGGUUGAUUGAUUUUCGUUAUCUUUGUCGGUCAUAUCCAAAAAAAAAAUUUAGUACUGGUGAAAUAGGAUAAUUUCCUAAUUUUCACAGUCCGAGUUCAUACCCGAAAUAUAAUUCACAAUUGCGCAGAAAAUCAUCCAAUUCGAUCUUACGCUCGAGAUACAACUCAUGAUCACACGAAAAGCACAUGACUUAAUUUGUUUUGACCAAUUAUCUUAUUUUUUGUUUAGUUAGCAAUGGAGUUUAGGAUUAAAUUGAUAAAGUCAAAUAUACACACAAUUCACAUUAGUAUUAUGAUUCAAUUAAAUUAUUUUUUUCUCAAUAAUUUUGAAUGAAUAGGUCUCUCUCUCUCUCUCUCUCUCUCUCUCUCUCUCUCUCUCUCUCUCUCUCUCUCUCUCUCUCUCUCUCUCUCUCUCUCUCUCUCUCUCUCUCUCUCUCUCUCUAUAUAUAUAUAUAUUUAUAAAUAUAAUAAAUUUAAAAAUAUUCAUGUUCAAAAGACCUAGCGAAGUCACUAGAAACUUGCUGAAAGCAGCAAACACGAGGGUGCUGGAAUCGAAAAAUGGCCAAAAUGAGGUCAACUGUCUUUAAUUUUAAGAUGAAUGUUAUGAAAGUUAUGAGCCGUUAAGGUAGGUGGCACACACUUCUUAUGAAUGAGAGUUUAUGAAUUUCUUAGGUAAUGUUAUGUUAAUAAUUUGGUAACUGCAUGCUUGGGUUUCGAAACUAAGUUACUAAUUUUACUUUAGAAUUAAAAAAAAAAAAUCGACAUAGGGCUGGGCUUAAACCAGCUCUCACCUUAUGUAUUUAAUAUGGUUUGAGUCAAUUUAGGUUGUUCAAACUUGAAACACUCAGUCUAUAUGCUCUUGUGUCUAGAAGCUGGGUAAUUCUGAUCGUAUUUCUUUGUAGAAGUUUGCACUUUCAAAAUCUAGGAAGUUAGUAAGUCAAUAGUGUUGUAAGAGAUACUCGUGUUUUGUAGAAUCAUCUACUAAGUUGUAUGUAAAAGUAGCAUCCUUUACAAAACCGUAAAAUCUCGAGUGUUACUCAGCCUUGUUGCGAGAGGAGUAGGUCAGGUGGAAGUUCAAGCCACUAUAAAUCUGUUUUGCAUCUCUUCGAUCUCUCUAACUCCUUUAUUAUCAUUUGGACAGAAAGGUACCGCCUCUGCAUGACUGUUUUCUUCCUACACCAAUACACAAUACCCGUUCUUCAUGAAAAAAAAAUAUUAUUUUACUUAGAACAACCAAUUCACCCUCCUACAGCAGCAUAUUACUUCACAUCUUUUCCAUGAAAGAGUUUCAAUUUUCUUAAAACAAUCAAUUCAACUCUCCUCAAUCGUUGCAUUAAUCGUUUCAUUAAUCUCUUUUGUUAAUAAGAGCAAUGAAAGAUCUAUCUCACUGGCCAAAAUGAAUCUCUUAAAUAAUCCUUUCUAGAUGACCAUCUUAGUAAGUGGGAAAUUACCAAAAUCACAUGACAAUAUCUUUUUGUUCUGGGCUAAUUUAAGGGAACUCAUAUGACACAUACCAUGAUUGACAUUUAAUAGCAUUAGAAUUAAUGAUUAUCUCGUCUGACAUUAUAAAGGACAAUGCAAAAAAAAAAAAAAAAAUUAAGGAGGAAACCUCGUUGAAGCUUCUUGUAGUUGGAGCUACCGAUUGAAAAGAACAAUGCCUGUAGCUUAAAAGAAAAGCUUCAACCUUCAGAAAUGUUAGGAAGGACUUCGGUUAACACAUAAAUGCUUUAAUUAAUUAAUGAAUCUAUGUUCCAGAGCACUUAAUCUCACAUAAUUAAAAACAAGGGAAAUUUGAUCGGGCUGAACCUAGCUCUAGAGAAUCAAUUGGGUAGAGAGCUAGAGAGGGGAAAAUAUAAGCCGGCCGCUUGUAUAAGAUAGUUAGGCACAGAGUCCGACUGCUUGAUUACUUGAAGGCCCAUUAAGCACUACACUUCGAUUUAGAGCAGUUUUAAAUAUGAAAAUAUUCAACUUCUCAACCAACUACGUAAACUCUUAGAAGGGAUUGAGCUUACAGUUUAUGUUGGCGUAAUUAAUACAAGGCCCAAAAUAUUUAACCUUUGUGUCACCUUCUAUAAAGUUGGAAAACCAGAUAUUUUUCAAAUAUUAUUCCCUCGCAUUGGUAAAAAAAUGGACAUUUUUUUUUAUUAGAGGGAUGUGCAGAUAUAUAUGGUUUCCUUUCAUAUUCCAAUUUCAAAUCCACUCAAAGAUCACAACCCAUGGAAGGUUCACAAGAAGUGGAAGAUGCUCUCACUUUAUCAUCUUUUUUUUUAUAUAUAAAUAAUUUCUACCGAGAAGAAGGCAGAACUAAGGCUCAUUUUUAGUCAUCAAUCCACAACAAUCGCGCAUCCAUCUCUGCGGAACUUGCGUCUUGAUUUUAUUAAUCUUCCCAAAAUAUUUAGUCGCCGAUUCUCUUUUGUGGGUCUAAUCCCAUAGCUUUCGUACAUUCUUGAACAUCGGAGAAUCACAAUAACAUUCAGGUCCCCAUAUCCAUAAAACUGAAUAAUGUGAGCACAGCAUGAAGGUAAUGAGGAUUUCGUGGAAGCUCACUCGAAAACCCACCGGAAGUUUCUUGCAUCUUAUGGAAGCAAAUUCAUGGUCACUUCAUGACCCUUUCUGGUGUGGUUUGACAAGUGAUUUUCAUGAAAAAUGCCUCGAAAUUAAAACUGAAAUCAGCUAAAUGUGUAAUAUUUGAAAAAAUAUAGCACUUGAAUAGAUCUGUCAUCACCCAAAAUAAACCCAACAUUUAUUUCAUCGUUUAAAUAGGCAAUGUGAGAUAAUAAUUUCACUAGCGGAGUUUACGCAACGACAUACAUUCAAUUUAACAAUCAAUGUUUAGGCAAUGACCCAUAUUCGAUUUUUAUUUUUAGCAAGCAUUUCUAUUCCAUAAAUGAAGUGAUAUUCUAUUUGUUCGUGUAAAUAGUUAUCUAAAUAUAACUGCUAUCUCUUUAUGUAAAAAUCCUCUUUUGAAAAUCUCAAAAGUUUAUUGAUUAAUGUGGGACAAGUUGCAAACAGUUUCCUAAAACGAUUCCAUCAACAAAUGAAUAGAGUUUAGCAAGACAUUCAUCAAAAUGAAUAGAUAAAAGUCAGCUUGCUACGAGCGAGAGCUAUGGACAAUCUGACAUAAAUUAUGUUGACAAGAUUUUUCAUACGAGAGCCACGGGUUUUAUUUACAGAUACCGGUGAGAUGUUGAAAAUGCAUUUGUCCAAGCCUUUAAGUUAGCUUUGGAGCUAUUCUUGUCAAUCCUCCACAACCUCUACCGAAAUGCACUACUGAAUUCCAGAAAUUCCCUGCUUAGUCACACCAAUUUUCCCAAACUCCCCACAUGGCUUGUGCUUCACACUACUUUACCCUUCCGUUUUAGCAUGCAGCAGCGGAAUCGUGAUGUCCUGCUCGCUUCACCUUCGGCUUCCUAUUACAUUUCCUCGACCAUUCCAUCUAUUAAUGGAAAAGCAAGUCAAGUCAAGUCGUGCUGGAUUCCAAAGUUCAAUCAAAGCACCUGUUACGUGGCACGCACCUUUCGCAUGAUGCUGACGAAAUUACACGUUCAAGCGUGUACUGUAGAAAAAGCAAGGACUAGGAGCAUCUUUAUUGCAAGUGGGUUUUCUUUCCCACUAAGGCAAGUAAAGUCAAGAAGCACCUACACAGGGUCCCUGCAACUUCCACGUAAUGCCAUGAAUAUUACGCGUGCAAUGACUCAGCAUUCUUGGAACACUCUGCAAUCAGUAUUCUUCAAGCAUGUACAGUAAGGACAAACAAGGCUUAAUACUGUGCAAAGGACAAAUGCACUUUGGUGGAGAAGCCGUUGGCUGAAAAUGUUAAUAUGAAAUAAAAAGCUAAGCACCAAAUUAAAUAAAAAAAGGUAACUGGUAUUCACUAAAUAAUUAGUCGAUAGUGCAGAGAACCCACUGGCCAAGAAUUUCUAAAAGUGACACCAAAUGUAUAAACUCGCAACUCCACCAACUCAGGAGGAACCAACUCUAAAUGUCUUGUGAGUCCAUGAAAUGAAAAGAGAAUUGGCGGAGUCACCUCAUGUAAGUAAUUAGAUGGAUUUAACAUAACGCUAGUUGUUGAUUGUGCAAAUAAGAUCAUCAUAAUUUUCUAACUUGCCCUUGCCCAAGUGAUGACAAAUAAAACCUUUCAUAUUUACUAUCAAUCGACUAUUAGUUUCCCCAAUAAUUCUCGUAUAUGGUAGAUUCUCCGGUCAUUACUGAUAUAUCAAAUGUCCGAAUAUGCUUGUAGCUCGAUCCAAAUCUGGAAACAGUCUCACCCAAAUCCAGUCUUUCGUGGAAUGUGUGCACUAAUCUUCGGCCGACCUCACUCCGAGCAUCAGCAUUGGUCGUUGGUUUUCUUUUCAAUUCUUCAUUUACUUGGAAAAGCAAGUCAUGUCAAGGUACAACUACAUAGGUAGGUUCAACGCACCUUUCGCAUAAUAGUGCGGAAAUUACGCCUGCAAUGGUGCUGUUUGCUUUUUAUUUUCUAGUUGUUUUAAUAAUAGAAAAGUCAAGUCAAGUUGAAGUCGUGCUUACUUUAGAAAAAAAGCGCCUGCAUAGGCUCUACGCCCCUUCCGCGCAAUGCCGUGGAAAUUAUGCAUGCAAUAAUUACGCUUUUCGUGCAGCAUGCAUCGCAAUCGCAACGGUUCGAUUAGUUGAAGAUUCUCGGACGGUUGGAUGGCAAGAACUCAGCAUUGUUCAAGCACGCGCAGUAGAGAGCAUUGUGAUGUCAUUUCUCUAACUUGCUGUUGCCGGAUGUGUUCGAUGUUGACUAGCUUUGACAUUUCUCUCAACUCUUGGCAUGUAUGUGAGUAAUACAGAGAGAAGCUUGAAAUAUUGAGGAUGAUGUGUUUCUUCCACGACUCUUAUCAAAUUUCAGAUUUGCCAGAAGUUCUCAGUACAAUGUCUCUUCCCAUUUUCAAUUUACUAUUGGUGCUUCCAAGCGGCAACUUAAGAUGAUUUCUUUGUCUAAUUUGUUUUCACUUUUAUCUUCUAGCUGGCGAAGCAUAGAAACCAUCACAUAUUUCCUAUGAAUCUCAACAUUUGAUUGACUUCAUCAAUCAUUUGUUGUUUGAAAUCCCUUUUCCUUAUGGAGGAAGAUGUAGAGGGUUUAAAUAUCUGUCAUAGAGUGAAAUGAGAAAAGAGUGACUCCUAUGAAAGCCAUCAAAUAAUUCUUGAACUUUAAUUUGUUUCAUGGAACACGUUCGAAUGAAACAACAAAAGUAUGGUUCACUCGUUAAGUUUUCAAUUAUACUUUUAUGGAGAUUUCCAAGUCUAGUAAGUAUCAAAUGUAUCACAGACCCUCAUGGAAGUAUGAGAAGCAACUUGAGUGAAAAGUCAUCAUCUCUUCUUCACUCCAAAAGGUGAUUACUUCAUUGAUAUCGGUGUGUAGAGCUUCGGAUACUUCAUUUCUUUUUAUGUUUUGCAAAUUAAGUGUACAAAAAGGCUUAUGUUGAAUACGAUAGUCCGAAAUUUACAUCAACUCAAAUAAUAUGAAAGAGAAUAUGCACAAAUAUGAAUUAGUUGAUUAGGAACGUCAUGCAGGAUAUGUCUUCAAUUAUAAACUUGUGUUGAUAGAGUGUUUGUACCUAUGAGUAAAGAAGUGAAAACAUGCUGUUAGGAGGUUUUAUAAGCUAAGCUGGUUGUCAGAGCAGCAAAAGUAAGCUAAUAUUAUAUAGCUACAAUACACUAGGUGUGAACGUAGUCACUCCUUAGUGUCGUGUUUAAUGCAAUUCCUCUCCAUUUAAUAACUUCAGUUUUUCAAAUCACAUCUUGUAAUGCUAAAUAAGCUGAUAUUGAAUCCUCGUCUAUCGUGCUAAGAAAAAUUAUAUUUUGGUGAAGAACCUGUUGGCCGAGAAUGUACAUGAAAUAAAAUGUCUGACAAAAGAUAAAAUAAAAAGGGAACAAAAGUAUCACUGAAUUAUUAUUCGACUACGGAGAAUUAUUGGCUGAGAAUUUAUUAACGCGACACUAAAAUAAUAAAAUUUAUGGAAAAUGUUAAAAACUAUUAAUUUAAGGGGAGAGAUAAAAGUGGCUUGGGUGGAGGAUAUCCACUUGAUAAUUUUUAAGCAAAAAGUGGUGUGGAGAAAUCUAGUUUAAGGAAAUUAUUUUGAAAAAAUUUAUAUUGGAGUUACUUUUCUAGACGAAUAAAAAAAGGUAAUGCGUCCUGCCGACUUUUAAUAACAAAAUCCUCUAUAACCCCUAAUUUAUACGCUCUUGUCAUGGGCUCAUGUACAUUAGCAGCAUAUAAGAGAAUGAAAGCAAGUCAAGACGGUGAUGGAUCUCUCCAAUUUCAUUGAAAGCACGUAGAUAUGUUCCCAGUACCUUCCCCGUAAUAUGCUGAGAAUCGGUGGAGAUCACGGCAGAAGCAUGUGAGUACUGCUCGUCGGUUCACUUUUCUACUUUUUCUUAGUUAUAUAAAAAGCAAGUCAAGUCAUGAUGCUGCCGAGCAUUGCGUGUCUCCAAGUCAUGAUGCUGCUUCGACCCACAAAACGAAAAAGUCAUGAAGCUGCGGAAACUACGCGUGCAAUGAUUGUUCUCUCUCCGGCAUGCCUCACAGCAUUUUGAUUGGCCUGAAGAGUCCUGGACCACUGGAUGGCAAGAACUCAGACAUCAUUUGAGCACGCAUAUUAGAGAAUGUUGCGUAUUGGUAAUCUGACUUCAAAGGCUAAAAAUCGGUGGAGAUCCCAGGGUUCUGCUGUUUGAGCAUUCCUCUAGUAAUCAACGACGCCUUCCUCUUUUUCUGUUUCCUGUUCUGAUUGCUCCAUUUUCUUCUGAUGAUUUGUCUGAGAGUUUCUAUUUCUGUUUGAAUGUAGCUUCGUGUUUGACCACUGAGACAUUUCUGCUAGUCCUAGAUCUGGGAUUUUGCAUCUCUCCUCUGUUUCCUCCUCUAUCAAUCUCUUUACGAUCCUUUCGAGAUGAAAAGAAGAGAAUUCACUCAUUUAGAAGAUUCGAUCUACGAGGUGUCUUCCUCAUCGACUUCUCAAAAUGUAGGUGAUUAUGAAGGCGGAACCAAAAGGUUGAAAGGAAAUGAUUACGAAGUGUUUUUGAGCUUUAGAGGGGAAGACACUCGCAAAGGCUUCACUGAUUAUCUCUAUACUAGCCUUGUUGAGAAAGGAAUUCGUGUGUUCAGAGACGACAAUGAGCUUCAUGUUGGUGAGAAGAUUGGUCCGGAGCUUCUUUGCAGCAUUAGGCAGUCCACAAUUUUGAUCCCAAUUAUCUCCGAGAACUAUGCUUUCAGCAAAUGGUGCCUUCGCGAGUUGGCUCAGAUGUUGAAGUGCAAGAGAAGUAGACAACAAAUAGUGUGGCCUAUCUUUUACAAAGUGAAACCCUCGCAAGUGCGCCAUCUUAAGGGGAGAUUCGAAGAUGCUAUCAAGGCACAUAAAGAGAAUGGGGAUGAAAUGGUUUUGAAGGAAUGGAAAAAAACGCUCAAAGAAGUGAAGGAAUGGGAAGAAGCUCUCAAAGAAGUUGGUUCUUUGAAAGGAUGGGAAUCAAAUAAGAUUCAUAAUGGGUACAUUAUUCUUCACCAAAUUGUUGUUUAAUUUCUCACAAAUAGAUCUUUCGUGAUAAAGAACAUAAAUGUGGCCGUUCUAUACUAAAAUUAAUUGUUAUUGUGGCAGGCACGAAGGAGCAUUUGUUAAAACUAUUAUCACAAACGUUAUGAGCGAGUUAAAAAGGCUUUUUCUACUAAAUGUUCCCAAGCAAUUGGUGGGAAUUGAUGAUCGUAUCAAUGACAUUAUGAGCUCAAUAGAUGAUAAAUUAUAUGACACAACGAUUAUUGGACUUUAUGGAAUGGACGGCAUCGGUAAGACAACUCUUGGAAAGGUGUUAUACAACAAGCUCUCUAGUCAUUUUGAGUCUUGUAGCUUUGUGGAAAAUAUUCGAGAAACAUAUCAGCACCAGGGUUUUAAAUGCAUACUGAAAAAACUCAUUAAAGAUAUAAUAGGAAGUUCGAGUCACUUGUCUAGUGUUGAUGAGGGAAUAGGUGUCAUCAAAUCUCUAUUUACAAGAAAGAAAAUCUUAGUUCUACUUGAUGACAUGGAUGGUAGUACUACUCAGUUAAAUGCUUUGGUCAAAGACGGUAGUUGGAUUGGAGUAGGAAGUAUAGUCAUCAUUACAACCAGAGACGAGAGGAUUCUCGAUAAGGCUAAGGCAAGCUACAUGUACCCACUCAAUGAGUUGUCUAUAGAUCAUUCAUUGAUCUUAUUUAGUAGACAUGCAUUUCGAGAGGAUUCUCCUCCGAGUGAUUAUAAGGUUCUCUCUCGUGAUAUCGUAUCUACUACUGGGGGGCUUCCAUUAGCCCUUGAAGUUAUAGGUUCAUACUUAUGUGGAAUGAUAAGAGAAGUAUGGGAAGAUACAUUAGAAAAAUUAAAAAAGGCACCCGAUGAGAAAGUGCAAGAGACAUUGAAGAUAAGUUACGAAGCAUUAGAUCAUGAGCAAAAACAGAUAUUUUUGGAUAUUGCAUGCUUUUUCAUUGGAUCACAUAAAGAAGAUCCAAUUUAUAUGUGGGACGCCAGUGAUUUUCUCCCGAGGAGGGGGAUUGAAGUAUUGAGUCUUAUGUCCCUAAUUAAAUUUGACGAAUACAACAUGCUAGUGAUGCAUGAUCAAUUGAGAGAUCUUGGAAGGGAAAUUGUUCGUCAGGAAAAUCCAAAGGAGCCUCAAAAGCGUAGCAGAUUAUGGAAUUACAAGGAGGCCAUAGAUGUGAUUGAUGGAAACAAGGUAAGAGUUUUCUCUACUUGUUGUAGUAAGUGAAUGUGGUUUCAUCUUCCCUUUCUUGUUUGAAAUAAAUAUACUUGUUGGUCUUGACUCCCCAAAACUAACUGAUUCUACUAGCAAAAGAGUAACAUGAUUAAUUGCUAUUUUUGCUUGAUUCUGGAACAUAAUUUAGGAUCAAUUUCUUGGUUAUGGAUAAAGGAUAUAUAUCUUUGCCCGGUAGAAUUUUGUUCAGGAUACUCUGCUCUUGGUAACUUUAAUGCAACAGCAAAACUACAAAAGCAGAAUGUUUGACAAUUACUUUUAGAGAAAACCUGACAUUUAUAAAUUGUUGCAGCCAUAUUUGUUUGAUGCACAUGUUUGAUGUUUGGAUCCGUCAUUUGGUUUCCAGCGAGGCCUUUUUUUUAUUAUUUUGUGACGAUUUAGCUAUCUUGCUUCCUGUAUUUAUUAAGUUGGGGUAAGUUUAACCCCUAAAUAUUAUUGGCUGUGCAAUUUAGUCCCCCAUUUAUUUUUUGCUUUUACUCAAUAUAGUCCUCUAACUUUCACUUUUUCAUGCAAUUGAUUCAUUUGUGGUCAAUCGUUAGCACUGUCAAUUUGCUAAUGUGGCAUGAUUAACUGCGUAAUUUAACCCUCUAAACAUAUAUUAUUUUCAUUGUAUAUACUUUUUAGGAUAGUGGAUAGUUUCUUUUUAUGAAUCUGGUAAUACCUUUUCUCUUUGUGAUAAUGGAUGAUUUUUUUAUUAAUCUCCCAGUAUUAUUUAUUUGCUAAAUGUAGGCUAUCAUGUUAUAAUAAUAAUUUGUUUAUUGUUCAAUUCUUGGUGAGAAUCUUACUUAGCAAAGAUAUAGUCAACAUUAAAAACAUUAUCUUAUUUUUGUGAAACGAAAACUAGUUUGAGGUAAAUGUGACACGGGUCUAUCAAUUUGGAACUUUUUGCGACAUUAAAAUUAGUGUAUGGUAAAUGUGGAACAAAUCUAUGGUUUGAGACUUUUGGCAUUAUUAACCGAGGUAUAUAUGGUUUUGAAUUUUGUGUGAUGAUAAAUUUUCAUUAUCAGCAUGAAAGUUAAAAGGGAAUCCACUAAAAGCAAUUAUAACAUAUGGAAGAUUUGUACCAGCAUCAAACAAGCAUGUGAAAAUGGCCACGAAAAUCGUUAAUUAAGAAAAACUAAACACAAGCAUGGGGAUGCAAAACAUAAUGAUAAACCAAAACUAUUGAAUAAAUGCUUCCAAUACUUUCGGCGAGCAUAUUUUCGCACGAAGGAAAAUGUAAUUAACUGAAUAGAACAUUGCUUAGAAGUGAAAAAAAAAAUGGUAUCUAUGAAGUUGUCGACAAAAACAAUAAAGACACAAGAAACUUUUAAUGAAAAAACAAGUAGGGAUUCAUAUGAAAGAAUAAAAGUUUGAAGGAAAAGUUGAAACCACCAAUGUGUAAUUCGUCACCUAAAACAAGAAACAAAUUUGAGUUUGUAAAAGAUUAGGUUACAAUAAAAGAAAUAUGCAGAAGACUCGAGUUCCUUACUAAUACAAAUUUUAUCAACUUUUAUGUCCAAUCUGUUCAUACAGAAGAUCUCAUUAAUCCAUGGCAAAAUUGAUCAAAAUUAGAUGACUACCACUUCAAAAUAAAAAAAGCAACAUGACAACGAAAAUAUAGCAUUAAACAUUUGUAGUGAUAAAAAGAAAAGUAAGGAUCAUGUAUAGAACAUUUGAUGUUAUUAAUUUUCCUUCCACAUACAACGAAAACCCUCGUUGAGGGAACACACAAUGAGAAAGGAAUGUAAAACAUACGUAUCUUUUGCGAUGACAUUCUUGUUUUCAUUUUGACAUUGACAAUUGCAAACAAAGUAAACACCAAAAGUGAGGAAAUUCUACAAUUGGGAUUCUUUAAUUUUGAUACUUAUAUCGAUGGGAAGUUUGAUAGAUGCACUUGGAUGGUUAGAGUUGUAUUGGUUUGCAUAUACAUGAUAGGAGUAAAGGAAGUGUUAUUUCACAUAUAAAGGGUAUGAAUUUUGAUAAAUAUAUAUUUGAAUUACAAUAUGCAUGAAGAGAGGCCUUCAAUUGUAUUUGCAAAUGGACGCAAAUUUUGGAAAUUCAAAAGGUGCAAAAUGAGAAUGGUAUAGGUGGAUGAGGAAAAAGUUUGGAGACAACCACUUGAGCUUCUCAUCUUUACAUAUAUUAGAUAAAUAAAAUGCAACUACAACCUUUCAUUUCGCAAAAAUGAAAGGUAAAAGCUUACGCCAUAGUAGUAUGAUAGCAAAUUGAAAUCAAUGCAUUUUAUUUUAUAUCAAUUGGUAUCAUCUCAUCAUUCAAAACUUAUGGUCCACAAUGUUUCCAAGUUGUAGGGCACCAGAAAGAUCGAGGCCCUUUCUUUUAGCAAAUGUCGUAAGGGAAGAAGAUAUGCAGCCAAACAGUUUAAAAAAAUGACCAACUUGAGGUUCCUUCAAGUGGAUGGUGCUAAUUUCACUGGAGAUUUCCAAAGCUUACUUCCUGAGUUAAGAUGGCUUUGGUGGAAUGGUUGUCCCUCAUAUUUCACUAUGGCCAACUUUCAUCCAAAGAAAUUAGUCGUACUCAAUCUGUCAAAUAGUGCAAUUUCGGAGGAUUGGGAAGGAUGGGAUUCACUCAAGGUAAGACAUAAAGAAGGCAUUGAAGUAUUUUUUAACAUAACUUCUUUUUUCCUUGUACAUUUGAAAAUUUAUUUUCAUAAUUAAAUUAGCCGUUUCUCCUUAAUUUGAUACUAUUGAAGGAAAACAUAGUGCCCGAUUAAUGUAUCUCUCUUCCACUUGAAUUUGUCAUCUAGUUUUUUUAUAAUAAAAGUUGCUUAUGUCUAAUUAGAAAAUAUCUCAUUUGAAAUUUUAUUCGAAAAUAAAUGCAAUUAGCACUCGUACACUCUAAUAUUCUUUUGCAAUUGAUGUGCUUAAAAAACAUUUAUCUAUUGACGGGACCAAACAUUACGAAAAGAGGCAUUUAAAAUUAAAUAAGACAACCGUGAAAGAGUAGAGGAGCAUGGGUAAUUUUUUAGGAAUUCUAAAAUGUCAAAAACAUGAGUAGCAAAAAAUCACAGGUUGCGACAGUCCAAUUACAUUGACGUAUCCUUUCUUUCUUCCAGAUGGCAACCGAGCUCAAAGCUCUCUUCCUCGACUUUUGUCAAUUUUUGAAAAGAUCUCCCGACUUGUCCACUUUCAAAAGGUUGGAGAUUUUACAUCUUGCAUUUUGUAAGAAUCUAGAAGAGCUUCAUCCUUCUAUUGGAAAUUUGGCAUCAUUGAUCGAGCUAGAUUUAUCAUGCUCAUCGAUUAUGAAAUUACCCAAAAGCAUUGGGAAUUUGCAAAAUUUGAGGAUCUUACGUAGUGAUAUGUCUAACAUAACGGAAUUGCCUUAUGCCAUUGGGACGUUGGCAAAACUCCAACAGUUGGAAGUUGGUAAUUGCCCAAAUCUUAAGCGACUACCUAGUAAUAUAUGCAAACUGAUUUCGCUAGAGGAGCUUUCCGUUUCAGGUUGUAAAAAGAUUCAGAAAUUACCUGAACUGCCCUCCGGCUUAACCGACCUAUUGAUCACCUGCCAGGGGCAGUCUUUGCCCCAUCUUUCCCAGCUAAUCCGUCUCAAGAUACUCCUUAUUGUUGGUUGCGGUCGGCUUGAAUGUGUCCCAGAGCUUCCCAUUGGACUAUCGGAUCUUCAAAUUAGACAAUGUGGAAAAUUGAAAGCCUUGACGAAUUUGUCAGAAUUGAAACACUUGCGAUAUUUCCAUAUAUUUAAAUGCCCAUCUCUGGAACGAUCGCCCGACGUGUUGAAUUUUAGGCGUACGCAGAUGAGAGAACUUGGCUUGAAAGAGAUCCCCGACUCUUUUUGGGGCUUAGAAUUCAAGCGUUAGCAGACGUGAAGAGCUACGGGGGGGUGGGGUGCAGAAGAGAAGGAGGGCUAGACGUCCGUGAAUCUCUCUCUCUCCGUCGCUACUAGUCAGUCGCCCUACUGGUUUCCAAGGCCCGAAGAUCGAAGCCAUCGUUCACACCGCCCAUCCACCGCAGGCAAGCGGGCAGGUCUGUCGGCGCGAUGGCGACGGCGACGAGGCGACGGCGACGAGGCGACGCCACGGCUGGCAACGCCCUCUCCAUCCACUCCAGGUAAACGCACCCACGCAUGCGUCUCUCCAGCUUUCCUGCGGUCUCUCAGCUUCAGCUGCAUUUUAGAACCCCGGUCAGACUGCGUCACUUCGGCCCGCGAGCUCAUCGAUUGUUCGGAUUGGAGAUUUUAGUUUGCUCGUAGUAGCUAGUGCAGUAGCUUUCUGGGAAUUGAUGGGAUUUUUCCCCCAAUUUUCAGGUGUUCUUGGCGAUGUUUCUGUUCGUCUAGUGUACUGCGAUAGAUCUGAUGGAUAAGACCACUUAUAGAAAGAAGAAGAGAGACUCCGAAACGAUGGUGCUCGCGGACUUUUGAGCCGAUUCCUCGAGCUCGCCCUUCCAAUUUCGAUGCUUGAUUCGCCUACUUGGGUACUUCUUUCUCUUUUUUCUUGAAUGAUGAUGAAAGGAAGGUUGGGGUUGAUAUUCCUGUGGAAGUUUAACGGUGGCGCCUCUGUAUGUGUAUACAAAGAGAUAUGCAAUAAAGCGAAGAGAUUAGCCUGUGGAGAUAUCCUUUCUGGCAGGGUAUAAGUGAGUCUUCAGCGCCUGACCGCUUAGCUUUGGAGCAGACAGGGAACUCAACAAGUACAAGUCAGUAGCUGUGGCAUGUGGAUGAGCUGAGUAGGAAAGUGGUGCACAAAGCUCUGGAUAAGCUGGACAUAGUUGUUUGGGGUACUAUCUAGGAAAAUACUUUGGACUUGUACAUCUACAAGAUGGGCCCACCCUCCUUUUCACUUGAAGAGAAAAAGGCGCUGUCUUAGUGAAGUAAUUUUUUUUUGCUUUAUCGCCUUUUCAGGGUUUAGUGAAGUCGGGAGUUGGGGCUCCUCUUUGUUUUUUAUUCUGCUUAGUAGAUGUGUUUUUGGGGUCUGCAUUAUCUUUUAUAGAGAUGGAUAGGUAUUUCCUCGUUGCCUUACUUAUACUUAUUGCAUAACAAGGAAACCGAGGAGAAAAGAAAUUGAGAUUGGGUGCCGGAGGAGCGAUUUUUAAUACUAAUUCAGGGUAGAUGUUCGUCUACCCACUGACAAACUAAUAUGCAAUCAAUUAAAAAUGAACUAUGAGUACGGGUUGUAAUUGCAAUAAGGGUUUGCCGCUGAGUUUCUCCCUUCCAUGAACAUAGCAUGUGUUACGUUUGCUGGAGAAAGAAAUAUUGAAAAAAGUGCAAGCCAAGAUUAUUGUGUUUGGUCACCUACCUGGUUCUUGGGGCUUGAACUUUCGUCUCUGCCUUCCUCUUCAAGUGAUAUAAAGGAGUCACAAUUAUUUGAUGACACUGAUACUUGGAUAUUCAUACAUUUAAAUUGUUUUACCUGUAUUUAGUUGCUCCCAAACUUUCUUGUAAUGAAAGAAAUAUCUUACACACAUUAUUAGAGGUAAAUUGGUCAUCGAGGAUAACCUAUGUCCGAGUAUUUGCCUUCUCAUCUCUGCUUUUAGGUGAAAAGCUAGUGGAAUUUUCACUCUUCAUUGAUGGUAUUUCAUUGUUGUGGUAUGCUGAAUGCUGAUAAGUUCCUCUGGAUUAGUCAGAGCAUGAUGAUUGGUGGCUAUUAAUUAUACCCAUGCGAGAUCUUUACCUUGAAAGUUGGUUUAAGGAUUGCUAUCUAUCUAGAAUGCAAUUUAAAAGAUGGAAGUUGGUCACAUCAAAAUCAUUCCCAGUUUUGAUCAGGAACGGGAUCGUUGGAGAUGUGGAAUGGGAUUCUCACUCCUUGUCCCAGAUAUCCUACUUUGCCUAUUUAAUUGGGACUCAAUCUCAUAGUAAGUCAAAUGAAGCCCCAGUUCUCAUUGUGCAUGACCCAUUGUACGUCUAAAACAAUAUUUAAAGGCCAAACCUACUAAGUCAGGCUAACUUUGGGGAUUGAAAUACAAGGGGACUUAAAAUGAGAAUGAGGUGUUGCCCUCAUCCUGAAUUAGAUUGCAUGGAAGAUUUGAUGGCUGGUUAUGACAAGGCUGAAGAUACUUUCGAUACAGACUUGGGAGAGUCCAUAAGCUUUCAACUGGAUUAACCUUUUAUUGCUGGAGUUGGAAGUGGUAUCUACAUUCAUGAGAGGGUGCGGUAAAUAGAAGGUCUGCUGUGCCUCCGCAAACAGCAGUGCAGCACAAUGCCCUAACCUUUGUAUGGCAGCAUCUCUUCUGGCUGGGGACAGAGUUCGUUUUUCACAUCAUAUCAUAUAGCUCUUCACCUUGUCUAUUUCUUUCAUCCUCUUGUCUUCCUCUUUUCACUGCCAUCGUCUGGUUUUGCAUUCGUUUUGCUCACUUUUGUACUUUUGCCCCAAUGCUUCUCGAGAUAGCUUUCUCGAGAGGUACAGGAGCUUCCUCAGUGGUGUGCUUCUGUUGUGGUGGUUCUUGUGCUUUUGAUUUCUACAUUUGAGCUUCAUUUCCCUUUUUUAAAAGAUAACAUGUAGGUAUUAGUGCAGAAAAAAAGAUUAACAAUCUAUUUCUUUAGAACUUAAUUUUCUGUAGAGUCUUAUGAUCAUUGAUCCAAAGUAUGUUCCGAUUUCAAUCAUGUGGGAUUGAUCUUAACAACCUUUAACUUGAGGGUUAAAUUUAUAUGUAUUUAUACUACAAGGACUGCCUCGCAUAUGCGAACUGAUUAAAUCUUCAACUGUUGUUUUGGUGUAGCUGCGAUGUGACAUCUAUGUAUUACUAUCUGAAAAAUGAAUGUCCUUAGCAUAUCUAUAUGGGAAUUGGUUCUAGGCAAUCCAUCAAGAUUCAAUAUCUUAGUCUUAGGGCUUGUGCUUUACUAUGGUGGAAUCCUCUAGAAUCUAGUAUGGUGGAAUCCACUGGAAUCUAGGAUUGUGGAAUCCUCUUCUGUUUCUCACCUUGUGUUUCUUGAUUCUUUCACAAGAUUGCCCCAGAUUUUUACUGAUUCUUGUUCUUCUACCUUCGUGUGAAUCACAUACAUCUUUUCGGGUCUAGUACAGGACAUGUUUCAUGAUAUGUCCUUUAUGGGGAUAAUGGUGCAUGUGCCGUUUGCAAGUUUUCAAUUGGCUGGGAUUCUCUUGAUACAGAUACCUAUAUUCAUAUUGCACCUUCCUAUUAUCCCUUUUGAUUUCUUCUUUGACUAUUUCUUCAUGCUAGAAUGAAACAUCUUCCGUGCUGUUAAUCAAAUCAGUUCAACUCUAAUAAUUGUGCUCUAGGCAGAAUCAAGUCAUUGACUUGAUUAGAUGGUGACCAAUGUGCCGCUUUUUUCUCAUCAACAGGCUGUGACAGCAAUGGUGUAGCAGACUAUGCAAUAUAUUGACCAGACACCUGAUUUUGAGACAAUGAUAGAGCUUAUUGAGACACUGUACUCUAUUGCCCUGUGAUGGUUAGUAUGUGAAAAGAAACCCUAUUGCAGAUUAUGUUUAUGAGCAAUCUUUUUUUUUUUCCCCUUCCCCGUGGUUUCUAUAGCUAGUUUCGUUAUGCAGAUAUAUGUCAAAAUUGAGAGAGCACCGUCAAUUAAGAAGCUUGCAAAAGUAAAGGAAGAACAGGUUCUUAUAGCAGAAGCUAUUGACUUUAUGCAGGAAAUUGCAGUAACUAGAAGCUGACUACUGUUGUCCCUGAUCUUGUAAUUGAUUUUUCCUUGUCCAACAUUCCUAUGAUGGGUUUAAAUUGCAGGUAGAAACUUUUGAAGCAAUGGCAGAGACGGAGAAAGUUGCCUUUAUCCUUGAACAAGUAAAGGUUUUCUGUAUUGCUUUAAGCUGCUUAUGCACUAUUGCUAAGAUUGGUUUUCUAAUCGAUGGAUUUUGCAGGUUCUUUGUGCUUAGAUCACAGGGAUUAUGUCCAUGCACAGGUCCUUUCCAGAAAGAGAAGCUGUUGACUUUAUGCCGGAAAUUGCAGUAACUAGAAGCUGACUACUGUUGUCACUGAUCUUGUAAUUGAUUUUUCCUUGUCCAACAUUUCUAUGAUGGGUUUAAAUUGCAGGUAGAAACUUUUAUGUUGUGUCCACUAUCUUUUAACUAAAUUGUUUUCACCAAUCAAUUGCUACCUGGUAUUCAAGUUAGGGUUCAAACCAUGAACUUCUAUGGCUUUAUUUAGUUGGUACAUACUCUUCUUCCUUUCUAGCUUUACAGCAAACUCUGACGAUCAAGAUGUGCUUAAUGGAUCUAAACAUACAUCUCAGUUUACCUAGUGUUCAUGUUGUUAAUGAUGUAGGUAUUGCUCACAUCACAACAAUUACCUCAAGAUAUGUUGAUGCUAUAAGGCCACACGGUGAAGGGAAACCCAGAGCAAUUGAUACUGGUGAAGCUCUAUUGUUGUUGAGUCUUCACUGAGUGUUUUGAGGCACGGCUGUAGGUUCUAAGGAAAAUCUACUGGUACUUGGUUCUAUCACCACAUAAUCCUAUGUAGUCAAGCCUUCUUAAUGCCGCUUUAAGGAUCAAAAUCUCUCAUAUAUUACCCAAUUCAGGUACCAUUUUUGAAUUGUUCUGGGUAAUUGGUUGUACAUCUUGCAACAUCUCAAUAACGUGCCAUAGAAUUUGGUUGACCAUGCCUUUGUUACUUCAACGCAGGUUGCUUCUGAAACAAUUGGUCACACUAGAGGCUAUCCAAUGGACUGCUCUUUGGAGUACUUUUAAAGAUGAAUUUGAGAAUGAGAAAAACAUGCUCGGAGGUGCACUUGUUGAGAAGGCAGCAGAAGAUCUUAGACAGAGAAUCAUUAAACGUGUAAUUACAGAACUUUGUCAUUUGUGACUCACUCUAUUUUCUGCAGAAUAUUAUUGUUGUUUCAAAGUAUUACCCGAGGAUUAUUUUAAAUAGACUUCCAGAGCUGUGAUGCCUUAGUAUUUAGAUCUGAUUAUGGGGAACAUUGGUUUAUGUUUUCUUAUCAAUGUCAUCUUUAUGAAUGAUUUUCAAGACCCCACAUUUAACCCUGAGCAGCCUCUCUGCCUGUAAUCCCUGAUUGCGACAUGGUUGCCGGACUUGGAUACAAAUUCUAAAAUAGUGGAAACGAGGUUUAGGUACCUUGAAAGCCGAAGGCUUGUCAUACUAUUGAAAAUGUUGUCUUUGUAGUUUCGUUCCGUAAACAUUUCUGAUCGACAUAUACGUGUGCACUUGGCUUAGUCAACUUCUGCUCAUAAAAUUUUUAGCUGUGUGAUUGUCUGGUAUUGUGAAACCAUUUCUUGUCCCAUGGAGCCGAUGCCCUUUGGAAGGGUGGGAGGAGCUGUGCUAUAUUGCUAAAAUAGUUAAGCAAGUUUUUUCUGCUAGUAUUAGCACUCACCGUUUCUGGCAUAUAAAAGUAUGUCCCACUGUUGGAGCUUUCUUAAUGUGUUUAGAAAACCUACGUGGCUGAAUCACUCAGGGAGAAGAGCUCUCUUCUCGGGUUUCUAUUACUGCUGUUGUAGAGCAUUUUAAUCGUUCACAUGCCUCAAUUGAUAAAAUCAAUGCUAUCAUCUAAUAGAAAGAUCGCCCGACGUGUCGAAUUUUAGUAUUCGAGCGUUAGCAGACCUCAAGAGUUAACCGUGGGGGGGGUGUUGCAGAAGAGAACGACGGCUGGAUGCAACGCCCUCUCCAUCCGCUCCAGGUAAACACAUGCACGCGUCUCUCGAGCUUUCCUGUGGUCUCUCAGCUUCAGCUGCAUCUUAGAACCCCGGUCGGACCGCGUCACUCCGGUGCGCGAGCUCAUCAAUUGUUUGGAUUGGAGAUUUUAGUUUGCUCGUAGUAGGUAGCCCGAUAGUUUCGACAGCAAUUGGGUAGGCGGUUGAAGCAAAAAGUCGCGCUGGCUGCCAAGGUUCUGUCGAGAUUUGGUGAGUUGACCAAGGUCACGAGCUUAGGUUUGCUGUUUUUGAGCUGAGGCUAGCACGUACUGUUUAGUCAAAUUCCUGCAUUAGUGACGCUGUGAAAGCUCUAAAUCGGCCACGAGUAGAUGUGUGGGGGCGUGAUGCAGAUGAUCGAUCAAUCGCAUUUGAAGUUUAGAGUCGAUCCAUCUCAUGACGUAAAUUUGCAAUUGCAGAUAGUUGGGGUGGCGGUGUUCAGUUUCCUAGCAGUGGCCUUCUACAUCUUCCCAGGACUGUUGCUUGGGAGUAGAGCCGCUGAAAUCACUGUGAUGACAAUAGUCUCUUUUGUGGUAAUUCCCUUAGCGUUUACUUUGUGCCAUGAUGACAUUGAUUGCUUUUCUUUUGUCAGUUUUAGGGAAUUGAAUUAUAAGGGGAUUAUAAAUGAGAAUGAGGUGUUGCCCUCAUUCUGAAUUAGAUUGUAUGGAAGAUUUAAUCGGUGGUUGUGGCAAGGUAGAAUAUACUUUAUAUACAGACUUGGGGGAAUCCAUAAUAACCUUUUAUUGAUGGAGUUAAAAGUGGGCUCUACCUUCAUGAGAGCUUGGGUUGGGGUAGAUGGAAGGUCUACUGUGCCUCCACAAACAAUAGUGCAGCACAGUGCAGUACAAUGCCAACACCUUUGUACGACAGCCAUCUUUUCUGACUGGGGACAGAAUUCUCUUUUACAUCAUAGCAUAUAGCUCUUUACCUUUUCUAUAUUUUUAUCCUCCCGUCCUCUUCUUUUCACUGCCAUUGUCUGGUUUUGCGUUUGUUUUAUUCUCCUGUACUUUUGCCACAGAUGCUUCUCUAGUUAACUUUCUCUAAGAGGCAUGAGAGCUUCUUCAGCGAUGUGCUUUUGCUGUGGUGGUAUUAGUGCUUUUGUCUUCUACUUUUGAGCUUCAUUCCCUCCUUUUAAAGAUAACAUACACGUGUUAGUACAGAAUUAAGAAUUUGAGAAUCUAUCACUUUGCAUCUUAAUUUUCUGUAGUCUUAUGAUCAUUGAUUCAAAGUCCAAUUUCAAUCAAUUAGGAUCAAUCUUAACAACCUUUACCUUACGGGUUAGAUUUUAUACUGUAGGGAUUGGCUCCCAUAUGAGUACUGAUUAGAUCAUGAAAGGUCGUUUUUGUGUAGCUAUGACAUGCCACCUAUGUAAAACUAUCUAAAAACUGAAUGCGCUUGGUGUAUCUACAUAGGAAUUGGCUCUAGGCAAUCUGUUGGGAUGCAAGAUCUCAAGCCUGGUGCUUGUUCUCUAGAAACUAGUAUGGUGGAAUGCUCUAGAAUCUACUAUUGUGGAAUUGUCUUUAGUUUCUCACCUUGUGUUUCUGGAUUUUCUCCCAUGAUUGCCCCAAGUUUUUACUUUUUGUUCUCCUACUCAUGUAAUCUCAUUACUUUUUUUUCAUGUCCUGUUCAUGAUAUAUCCUUUAUGGGGAUCUUGUGGUGCUUGUGAUGUUUGCAAGUUUUCAAUUGGCUGGGAUCCUCUUCAUAGAGAUACCUGUAUUUGUAUUAUACCUUGCUAUUGUCCCUUUUGCUUCCUGUUUUUACCAUUAUUUCAUUCUAGACUGACAAAUUUUCCGUGUUGUAAGACCCUACUUAUAGCAGAAGCUACUGAUUUGAUGCAAAAAAUUUGAAUAACAAGAAGUUGACUUCAGUUAUCACUGAUCUUGUACUUGGUUUUUCCUUGUCCAACAUUCCUAUAAUGGGUUUGAAAUGCAGGUAGAAACUUUUGGAGCAACGGCAAAGACCUGGAAAAUUUCCUUUAUUUUUGAACAAGUACGAGUUUUUGUAUUGCUUUUAGCCAUUUAUGCACUAUUACUAUGAUUGGUUUUCUGAUUGAUGGAUUUUGCAGGUUUGUCUAUGCAUAGAUUGCCAGGAUUAUGUCUGUGCACACAUCCUUUCUAGGAAGAUCAGGCCCCAAGUGAUCAAUGCAGAUCCUUCCAAAGAGAAGAAUAAGCCUAAAGAAAGCGCCAGCUGAUAUUCCGUCUCUUCUGGAGUUGAAACAAUUAUACUACGACUCAUGACACGGUAAACUUGUGUUUCACUUUUUCUAAUGUUGUAUCUACUAUCUUUUAACUAAUUUGUUUUUGUCGAUCAAGUGGCACCUGGUAUUCUGGACCAUGAACUUGUAUGGCUUUAUAUAUCUAGCACAUACUCUUCUUCCUUUCUAACUUUAUUGCAAACUCUGACUUCCAGAUUUACUUGAUGGAUUUGAACUCGCAUCUCGAUAUAUCUCGCAUUUAUGUGGUUAACGAUAUCGGUAUAAAUGAUUACCUUGAGAUUUGUUGAUACUGUAAGGCGAUAUAUGAGAUUCCAUUAGUGAAGGGCAACCCAGAGCAGUGGAUAUCGGUGAAGCUCUUUCCUUGUUAAAUCUUUACUGAGUUUUUCAAGGCACAAUUGUUCAUUCUGUGAUUUAAUGAAAUGCAGGUUCUAAGGAAAAUCUGCUCGUACUUAGUUCUAUCACCACAUGAUCCUGUACAAUUAAGCCUUCUUAAUGCCACUUUAGAAAAUAAACAUCUCUCAGAAAUUCCCAUUUCAUCUUUGAAUUGUUUUAGGUUAUUGGUUGUACAUCUUGUAAUAUCUCAAUAAUGUGCCAUAGAAUUUGGUUGACCAUGCCUUUGUUAUUUUAACACAGGUUGCUGCUGAAACAAUUGGUCAUGGUGGAGGUUAUCCAAUGGACACCUCUUUAAAGUACUUUCAAAGAUGAAUUUGAGAAUGAGAAAAUGUGCUAGGAGGUGCACUUGUUGAGAAGGUAGCAGAAAAUCUUAGACAGGGCCCAAUCAUAGUCAAAAGAAGAAUUUCUGCUUCUCCUGGGUGAGACAAGCUACCUUUGGCUAGGGGCCUCAUCAGAGAAUCAUUGAACAUGUAAUUACAGAACUCGUUGUUUUUCUUCUUUUAAUUGGAUCAUCACUGAGAUGUGACUCACUCUAUUUUGUGCAGAAUAUUAUUGUCAUUUUGAAGUAUUGCUGGAGGAUUACCUUAAAGAGACUUGCAGAGCUGUUAUGCCUCAGUAUCCAGGUCUGAUUAUGUGGAACAAUUGUUUAUGUUCAUUAUCCAUGUCACUCUUUAUGAAUGAUUGCCUAGACCCCUCAUUUAACCCCGAGCAGCCUCUCUCCCAUGAUCCCUAAUUGGGGCAUGGCUGCUGAUCUUGGAUACAAGUUCCAAAUGUGUAAAGAGGUUUUGGUGCGUUGAAAGCCAAAGGCUUGUCAUGGAUUUGAGAGUGUUGUCUUCAUAAUUUUGUUUUGUACACUUGGCUUAGUCAACUUCUUGUUGUAGUUGUGUCAUUUUCUAGCAUUAUGAAGCCAUUUCUUGUGCCAUGGAGCCUGAAAUUCUAAUGCACUUUAUAAGGGUGGGAGGAGCUCUGUUAUAUUGCUAGAAAUAGCUAAGCUAGCUUUUUCUGCUAGUAUUAACACUCACCAUACCAUUUCCUGCGUUACAAAAGUAUAUCUCGCUGGAGAUCUUGAUUAAUGUGUUUAGGAAAUCUUUGAAGUUAAAUCACUCUAGGAAAAGAGCUUUGUUUUUGGGUUCUCUUACUACUGUUGUUGAGAGCUUUAAUCAAUCACAUGCCUCAAUUUAUUAAAUCAACGCUAUCAUCUAAUAGAGAGACCAUAUAAUGAUAAUUAUUCAAGCUUUUGUGAUAUUCUAUCAGCAUGACCUCUUACUUCUAUAUUACCAUUUUAGGAAGCUGAGAAGCAUCUCUCCUUGAUGGUUGUUUCCAAGUCCCUAAUGGCAAAGAUAGACUGGCCAAAGGGAAUUGUUAGUUUCAAAAUGACAAAGGACAGCAAUGAGAUUUUAAACUUAGAGGAGACAAUUUUGGAAAAGCUGCUUCUUUUUGUUAAGAAAAGUUGCCACCAAAUCCCAAAGGAAACUGCAGUUCAUAAGGCUGCCUCAAGAGCUUGAAGAUGUUUUCAUUUGAAUGAAUGAUCUCUCCUCAAUGAAUGCUGUUUCACAUUGUGGUCCAAAGUGUGGACGGGAGAUAUUCAUCAUUGAACUCUCACAUGGCUGUCUUAAACUUGAUUGCAUAUUUUGCAAGAUGACCAGAUCUUGGCUUUGUUUCGGAUAUACUUAAUACGCUUUCAAAAUAGGAAUGUAGUUUGGUUUUUUCAACUUUCCUCUUUCCCCCAUCAUUUUAAUUGAAGAUUUAUGGGCUCAGGUCCGAAACUUAUAUCAAUGGAACAGGUAUUAGCACAAGAUGUGCACUCAUUUGGACUGAAAUAAGUGCCUCGUUACUAAAUUCUGUUUCGCAUUACAAAUGUUGCUAGUGCUUGUGUUUUUCUAACAUCGUGAAUAACAUUAGCUCUCCCUAGUAAAGGCUUAACGAAUGGUACUUUUUCCAUUUUAUUUCACAUUUGAAAUGAGCACCCUGUUUCUAGAGAACUUCAUUCCGAUAAGAUAACUGCACAUUUUAUCUCUUCGAGAGACGUUUUUUUUCUUCAAGUUGAUACUUGAUAGAAGAUGGAGCUUGUUUUUUAGAUUUCCAGCUCCCUUAUUUUCUUCAUGGAAACUGAAAAAUUUGGGAAAAGCUAUGGCCAUGAUAUCUUUUGGCUAUGAAAAUAGUUGUGCCCCAUAAGUGAAAAGCACCAUUUUACUUUCUUCACCAAGUAAACGUAUUUAUUAUUUUGUUAGAGAAUGUGAUUAUAGAAAUUACUUAGCAUAAUUUAAAGAAAAUUCAUGAUUUUUACUAUAGUAACUUUUCUUGUUAUAUGUGCCGUUAAUGGAUUGGAAAUUACAUAAAUCAUCAUAGAUACACUUAAAAGUUAUUCUUGAGGUCCUCAUUAACACGAUCAAUCAUUUAGGAGAAAUAAAAAAAAUUUCUUCAAAAUUUGAUCCUCAGUUUAAAGCAGCCUGGAACUUGUUUUACUACCUCUAGUUAACUUAAUUAGUGUUGUAGUGUAAUUAUCAACGCCUUAUUUCAAGUGCAGGGAAAAUUCGAGAUAACGCAAAAAUCAAUUUUUUGGUCAAUAUUUGAAGAUCUCUUUUUGUCCCAUACUUGAGAACUAAUUAAAAUUCUGAUAGGAAAAAGAUUACUAUAAAGCAUUCAAAACAUUUGAUUUGACAAAAAUUAAUCAUUACGGUAAGGGUGGUGAUCGUAUACUUGAAGAAGGAGGCUCCAUCGAUUUUAAUCGACAAUUUUCCACAAAUUAGAGCGGUACCAAUUUGAAAACCCUAAUGCAUUUUCGCUUUUUUGUUUCUUUAUAGAACCUCAAGCCCCAUCUUCCCUUUCUUUUAUACAAUUCUCUCAUUUUCAAUUUGUUUUUUCCUAUUUUUGCCUUUCCGUCCUACCAAUAAUGGCGUCAUGCCUUGCCAGGGAGCCGCUUUCCCGGGAGGCCGCCUUGCCUUCGCGAGCGACCCUCCUCUCUCCGCGUGCUACGAUCUUCGGAGAUGAAAAAACGUGACCCCAAAUUUUACUUUCCUCCUUAGAGGUUCGAGUUCGGCCCAUGUCGAGAAAUCGCGAUGGUUUCUGAAUGUGGGUUUCUCCGUUUGCGGAUUAAAAUCAGCGCGGCUGAGACGAGAAGUACCAGCGAGAGGAAAAGCGCUCGUCCCUACCGAUCUGAGCAUCGCAGUACCCGAAGGAACAUGUGCUCGAGUAGCUAAUGUGCAGCUUCUCAUCUCGAAACAUCGUCUCAAUACCUUGUUUUGGAUGAUUGACGAGGGCCGAAUCGAAUCGCGUGUGCAUCUGUUGCUUCAGCACCUGAUAUCGGGUUUGGCGUGGAAGCAUUAGAUCGACGUCUGUGUGGGCGUGAUCGAUGCGGACUACAGAGGCCCGGUUGGGGUGAUCCUGUUCAAUUACUCGGACGUCGACUUUGAAGUGAAGGUGAGUGACAAGACCGCGCAACUGAUCCUUAGUCCGUGAUGAUAGAGAUAAGGCAUAUUGUUUAAGUUAAGUAGUUUUAUUUUGUUUUAUCAUCUUUUCCUGGUUUAGUGAAGUCAGUUAUUGGUGGUCCACUCUGUUUUUAUUCUGGUUAGUAGAUUUGUUUUAGGAUUUGAGUUAUCUUGUAAAGGGAUGAAUUCUUUUUGGUUUAGAUGGAUAGGUAUUUCCUUGGUGCCUUACUUAUUAUACCUUUUACACAACAAAGAAACCGGGGAGAAAAGAAAUUGAGAUUGGGUGCCAGACUAGUGAUUCAAAAUACUAAUCAACCGAAGAUGAACAAUAAGUAUGGGUUGUACCUCUCCAUUGCAAUAAGAGUUUGUUGUGGAGUUUCUCCCUUGCAUGAACAUAGCAUGUGUCAGGUUUGCUGGUGGCGAAAGGAAUAUUAAACAAGCGAGAGCCAAGAUUAUUGUGUUCAGUCGUCUACUGAUUUCCUGGGGCAUGAAUUUUUGUCUUCCUAGCUAUAAGCACUCUUUUCCUUCCUCAUCAAGUGCUUGAGUCAAAAUUAUUUGAUGACACUUUUGAUACUUGGAUAUUCAUACCUGUUAAAAUGUUUUUCCUGUAUAUAGUAACUCCCAAACUUUCUUUACCAAAGAAAGUAUCUUACACUCAUUUGAUAUGAGCAAAUUGGAUUGUCUAGAUUAACCGAUGUCUAGGUAUUUGCCUUUUCAUCUCUGCUUUUGGGUGAUAAGCUGGUGGAAAUUUUGCUCUUCAUUGAGUGUAUUUCAUUGUUAUGCUGUGCUGAAUGCUGAUAAGUUCCUCUGGAUUAGUCAGAGCAUUAUGACUGGUGGCUAUUUAUUAUACCUGUACCAGAUUUUUACCUUGACGAUUGUUAUUAGGAUUGCUAACUGUAUAGGAGGCAAUUAAAAAGAUGCAAGUUGGUUGCAUCGACAAUCAUUCCCAGAUUGGAUUAGGAGUAAGAUCACUGGAGAUGUAGGAUGGGAUUCCUAGUCCCAGUCCACCUACUUUGCCUAUUUAAUUAGGACUCGACCUCAUAGUAAAUCAAAUUAGGCCCCAUUUCUCAUUGUGCAUGACCAAUUGUAUGUCUGAAACAAUAUUUAAAGGCCGAACCUGCUUUUUGGGCUAACUUUGGGGAUUAAACUGUAAGGGGAUUAUAAAUAAAAUUGAGGUGUUACCCUCGUCCUGAAUUAGAUUGGAUGGAAGAUUUAAUUGGUGGUUGUGGGAAGGCUGAAAAUACUUUCUAUGCAGACUUGGGAGAGUCCAUAUGCUUUCACCUGGAUUAAGAAUAACCUUUUAUUGCUGGAGUUGGAAGUGAGCUCUAAUUUCAUAAGAGCUUCGGUUGGGGAUAUGGGAGGUCUGCUGUGCCUCCACAACCAGCAAUGCAACACAAUGCCAUCACCUUUGUACUGCAACCAUCUACAGAAUUCUUUUUUAGGUCACAGCAUACAGCUCCUCACCUAGUCUAUUUCUUUUACCGUCCUCUUGUCUUCUUUUCAAUGCCAUCAUCUGCCUUUGCUUUCAUUUUGUUUUCUUCUUUUCUUUUGCCAUCAUCAGCAGUGCAGAGUCUUAUGAUUAUUGAUCCAUAGUGUGGUCCAGUUUCAAUCAUUUGGGAACAAUCUUAACAACCAUUACCUUAAAGGUUUUAUUUAUAUGAACUUAUACUGCAGCCAUUGCCUCCCAUAUGUGUACUGAUUAGAUCAUAUGCUGUCGUUUUGUGUAGUUGUAAUAUGCCAUCAUGUAUGACCAUUUGAAAAAUGAAUCUCAUUGGCACAUCUAUAUGGGUAUUGGCUCUCGGCAAUCCCUAGAGGUGCUAGAACUCAGGCCCAGUGCUCAUGCCGUUUGCAAGUUUUUUCAAUUGGCUGGGAUCAUCGUGAUUGUAUUUGUAUUGCACCUUGCUAUGACCCCUUUAAUUCCUCUUUUUACUCUAUUUUCUUUCUAGAUGAAUAAUUUUUCUUGCUGUUAAUCAGAUAGUUCAACUGAAAGUUAUAAUUGUGCCCUAGAAAUAAUCAAGUAAUGAAUUAAUUUGAUGGUGACACUUAACUCUGUUGCUCCUAGGAAGGUGAAAAUGUGAAAUCAAACUCUAUUGUGGCUUAUGUUCAUGAGCAACCUGUUUUGGUUUCGUGGUUUCUAUAGCUAGUUUCAUUAUGCAGCUAUAUGUCGAAAUUGAGAGAGUGCGGCUGAUAAAGAAACUUGCAAAAGUUAAAGGAAGAACAAGGUCUUACAGCAGAAGCUGCUGAUUUAAUACAAGAAAUUGCAGUAGCUAGAAGUUGACUUCUGGGUUCACUGAUCUUGUAAUUGGUUUUUCCUUGUCCAGCAUUAUGAGUGGUUUGAAUUGCUGUGGAAAAUUUUGGAGCAUUGGCAAGUACGGAGAAAAUUGCCUUUAUCCUAGAACAAGUAAGGGGUUUUCGUAUUGCUUUUAGCCGUUUAUGCUCUCUUACUAUGAUCAGUUUUUUUAUCAAUGGUUUUGUAGGUUCUUUUGAGCUUAUAUUGCCAGGACUAUGUCCAUGCACAGAUCCAGAAAAUCAGGCCCCCAGUGUUUGAUGAGAAGAAAAGGCCUAAAGAAGGGGAAAGUAUUGUGGAAGAAGCGCCAGCUGAUAUUCGGUCACUUCUGGAGUUGAAACAGAUAUAAUCAGAACCCAUAAUAUGGUGAAUUGGUGCUUUACUUAUUCUAAUGUUGUAUCUACUAUUUUUAUAACUAAAACUUUUUGGCCGAUCAAGCACUACCUGGUAUUCAGGUUGUGGUUCAAGCCAUGGUUUUAUUCAUCAGUUGCAUUCUCUUUUUCCUUUCUAUCUUUAUUGCAAAUUCUGAUGUAAGAGAUGUACAUAAUGGAUUUGAACACAUAUCUUACCUCACAUUCAUGUGGUUAACGAUGUAAGUAUUAUCCACAUUACAUGGGUUACCUUGAGAUUUGUCAUUGCUAUAUGGCAAUAUAUGAGAUUCCAUCAGUGAAGGGGAAACCCAGAGCAGCGGAUACCAGAGAAGCUCUUUCGUAUAAGGCUUUGUCGAGUCUUCACUGAUUUUUUCUAGGCACAGCUGUUCAUUCUGUGAUUUAAUUAGUUG